UUGGUAACAAAUCCAACCACAAAAUUGUGCAAGCAACCCACAAGCUAGUUUUAUUGAAUAUUAAAAUAACAUAGUUGAUUUCUAAAACAUACAAAAUUUAUUAUCUCAUCAACACAUAAUUAUUUUGAUAACCAUAAGGUUGAGAUUUAUCCACCCAAAAUAGGGGAGAUAACAAAACUAUUGUGUUGUUGUUGCUGGUGUGCAAUUAAUCUUGCAGGGACAGUUGAUGAAGCAUUCUCCAAGGUCUGGCCAGCACAAGUUAUCUAUUUGACAACAGAAUUCCCGUCCUGGGAGCUGGUGCCCAUCUUUAUAACAAGGGGGUCUGGUUACAUGGCUUACUUUGCUCAUCAUGUUUCUCCCCUUGUUGUUUAUGAUUUCACCUAAUUAACAUAAAAUAAAGAAUAUACUUAUCAUUUCAUCAUAUAAACAAUAAAAGUCCACAAUAUCAAUCCCCCCAAAAAAUUGAGUUGUUAAUUACCAUAUGUGCCUCCAAGACAAGUUAAACACACCACAAGAAGAAAAGAAAGUAGCACAAGUCCUUGCACAUUGUUCCUCGUGAACUUUGUCAUCGUCACUAAGGAAAAGAGGCUAUUAAUAGGUGGUACUCUUGUAAGUGGAGUUGAUAAGUGUAUGACCGUGAAAUGCUUGCUCCAUGAAUGGUUCAUAUAUAUAUAGGAAAAGCUUCUCCGCGUUGAUGUGUGAAGUUAUAGAAAAUAUUAAUGCUACGAGUUAUGGCUUGUCUGAAUUUCCAAUUUUAGUUUAACUUCUAAAGAUUCAUGGUUCCUUCUAAAGUUUUUUUCCUCAAAUUGAUGCUUUGUCAUAGCAUGUAAGUUACUUUAAUGCCCCCUCUAGAAUUGACCGCUUAUUGUUUCCAAAGGGUAGAAUUGACCUCUUAGAAUGGGUAGCAAAAAACGGGUGCAUGGCAAUAUUGUGUUUAAGGCAUUGAUAAUAAUUGGUAUAAUAUUAAUAAUUCCUAUAUAUAUGAUGCCUUAUCAGUAAAUUAUUAAUUUCUCUCUUGGUAUAAGAGAACAAAAUUUAAAAUUCAACAAGACUCGUCCACUUAACAUUGGACUUGUUUUUUAAUGUAUAUAAGCAAUUGUUCUUAAGUAUAUCAGCAAGUUACGGAUACAUUUUUUUACUUUUAUUCCAUGAACAUAGAUUAAUUAUGGGAUGGCCAUUUUAUAAAUAUAAGAUGAUGAUUUAUUUUCAUAUACAUGAACAUUUUAUAUCAAGGUAGUUGAGCAUUUUUUACAUUUUUCUAUACACAAAAUUUUCUCCAAUAUUAAGUUGAUUUUGAUUUCUUUAAAUAGAUUAGUUUCCCCAAAACGUUCUUUAUUAGAAUAGUGAAAAUGUUGCACUUGCCCGACUAUGGCAAAUUUCGUUAAUUCUCGGGACUCCCUAUAUGUUCCUCCUUGCGGCUAACAACCUCCCCUUCGGAUAGUGCGCGCCUGGCUGGGCCGGCCCAUUGACGACACGAAUGGACACCACUGAGUGGGAGAGUAGGCGCUGAGCCAAUCCACUUCAGCGACAAUUUUUUAAAUUUUGGAAAAUUUCUUUGCAAAAUGAACAAGCAUUGAUAAAUGCGAAGUUUUUUUGAACAUAUUCUAAAAUUUGAAAUUUCUUAAAACCCCAAUUAUAUUUGGAAUUUCGUUCAUUUUUCUGAAAAUAUGAACGAUUUAGGAAAUACUGAAGAUUAUUUGAAAACUACGUCCUUUCCUUGGAAAACCAAAAAUUUAUUUAUAACAAAAUAUGAGAAUCGGAACAUUUCCUGAAAACUUGAAUAUUUUUUAAAUUUCAAAUUUACGCACAUUUUAAAAAAGGAGACUUUUUGAUAGAGAAAAUAAGAAAAAUAAAACAUGGAAAAACCAAAUAUGUAAAACUAAAAAAUAACCCAAAGAAAACGGUAACAGAAACAGAAGGAAAAAAAGAACAAAUGAAAAUACUAGUAAAAAUCAUAUCAGAACCUUUUAGAACGCUCCCAAAAUUGGUAAAAGCCCAGAAGGAAUAUUCCGGAAGUUCAUAAAACUAGAGAGGCGCGGCUAACAUGGGUCGGCCGUCCCAAGCUCUAGCAUCGAUUCUGUGUGCAAUCCCCGGCAAUUUGAUGUUUACUGCUCAAAUAGGGUUUUCGCCAAUUCUCUUGUUUCUUGUUGCCUCAUAUGAGUUUGUUGUUGUUUGGGACAUACCUUGGCGCCAUUUGUACGGGUUCGAUGACCGCCAUCAAGGGUCUCUUAGUGGAAUCACAAUAUCUUGCAUCGUGUGAGGGCGUGAGGAGAUUAUAGUGGCCCUAGUGGCAUUUUGGGGAGCAUUGUGCCUCCACAGUGCUCCAGACGGAGAUUAGCAUCUGCAAUGUCGUCUCCGCGUGCCUCAGUUAUUUCUUACCCGAGCCCUUUACUUUGUGAUAGCCAUAGUGUUUCAUGUUAUAUAUCUUGCUAUCACAUAGUUGUUUGUCGUGCUUAGCAUAAGUUGUUGGUGCACAUAGGUGAGCCUAGUGGUUUUAGCUUUUAUGCUUGACAAAUUAGACACUAGUUUUAUUCUACAUUUGUUCAAGCCUAAAUAGUAAUUAUUUUAAAGCAUCUAUUCACCCUCCCUCUAGGCAACAUCCACGAUUUUUCAAGUGGUAUCAGAGUGUCGCCUCUCUUUAUUAGGCUUAACCACUUAGAGAGUAAAGAUGUCGACUAGGGGAUUAGGAUUCUUUGACACUCUUUGUUUCAAUGGCACAAUUUUUGAUGUUGUUGUAAUUCGUAUGGUUAAUCUCUUUAGGGUCAUGGACCCAAAUUUAGAGCGAAUUUUAGAUAUUAGUUUUCAUCCUUCAAAGGAUCCUCAAAGAUUAUCUCUAGAGGAUGAGAAAAAACUCUUAUCUCACUGCUCAAGCUUCUAAUGUGCUUUUUGAUGCUUUGAACAAUGUAGUUAUAUUUGAACUUAUGCUAUUCUGGGAUGCUCAUGAUUUGUGGACAAAGCUUCAAGAUAAAUAUGGUGUGUCCAGGAUUUCUAGGAAUGAUUAUUCUCCCUCCAUCUCCAGUCUUAUGGUGUUCUCAACUUCUUCCACUUCACCUACAUGUGGAUUGCCACAAGGUAGUGAUAUGGUGAGUAGUGUUGGUCAUUGCAAUGAUUAUAGUGGGCUUAUUGUUGAUGAUCCUUCAUCGCUAUCUUAUUGAAUGCUCCGUCUUUGCACUUCAACACUUCGAGAUCUCUAGAUGGUUCACACGCUCGUGUUGAUAGUCCUUGCAUAUCACGUAGAAUUUGCUCAACUAAAUCUCAUGAUGAUAUGCUUGCUAUGUCUUGCUGCCAUGAUAAAAGUGCCUCUAUUUCCUCGAGUUGUUGUGCAAACAGUGUAAAGGAAACCCUACACUCCAUGGAACAAGAUGUGGUCCUGAAUGGUGCUUCAAGGGAUCCAACAUCAUCAUCUAUUGUUUCUCACUUUUGCCUUAUGGCUACGGUUUCAAAGGUAUCUCCCAGUUUGAAUCCCAAUAUAUAUUGUGAUGAUGAUGUUCAUGAUAAUCAGGGGAGGGGCCCCACCCAGUUGAAAUAAGGGGAGGGACCCUACCCAGUUGAAAUCAGGGGGUGGAGUGAUCAGUUAGGAAAGUUAAGUAAGAUUACGUAGGAUUUCUACGUAAUGCUACACCUACGUAGCUAUCAUACAAGAAUUUCUCCUCCCUCUCGUCCCAUUGCCCCUUCCAUGGCACUCUGCUCGAUAAGAAUAUUCUCCACUCCAGCAACACAUGUAUCUUCAGUAGUCCUAGUGCAAUUUUGCCUUCCCCAACUUUUCUACAUCAAAAUCCACAUCUGCACGAGAUGUACCAACAAUCAGUCGGGUUACGAAAGCUAUAUUUUCCACACAAGGGAAGGGCUAGAAAUCAAUACUGCAAAUUUGUCAUCUUAGGACUGGCAUUUACAUUUAUAAUUUAACAAGAACAGAUCACAUCAUAGUUCAAAUAAGAUAAGUAUGAAUGGACAUAAGUUUCCCAGUUAUAGGAUCAAACUAUAGGGGUGCUGCAAAAGCAACAACUUUGAACCAAGCUUCAUUGCCUCAGUAUACGAGUAGAAACCUGGGAGCCCUCCCUUGUUACCCUUCAUGGUGACAAACUAACAAUCUCGCAUGCAAGUUUCUUCCGGAGGUGCUCCAGCUGAGCCUGGGCGAGAAAAAAAAUACAGCUUUCAGUCCACCUCACAGUUUGUUCACUGUGGACACGCCCUGAACUACCAUGCUUUUACCUCACUAUGUUCAAACCCGAGGAUGUUGUGCAUGAUGUACACAUCGCUAUCCUCCUUAAGAUCACGGGAUCAGUAUUCGUCUUUGUUAGUGUGAAGUAUAACAAAAAAAAUUAUCCUUGUUCAAAGUCAGAUGUACUAACCUCGUGCACAGUUUGUUCCGCGCCACUAAAGGGUACACAAAAGUCCAUCCAGUCGUGUCAACCAACCCGGCACCAAAAAUGUCAUUGAACACUCACCCCUUCGACCAUUCGAACCUCUGCGAGCCAAUGCUGGCCUCGAGCUGCCGAGGUUUCUGCUGUUGCAGUACAUCUCAUUGGUAGGAUCCCAGCAGAUUUUGUGGCUGAAGCACACCCAUGGGUAGGACAAGCAUUAGUCAAGAGCAAACUUUAAAUCUUUUAGAACACCAACUACAAAUGUGAAACUAUUUGCUUGCCGUGCACCCACAUUCUAGUUCUAACUUUGCCAGUUCCGCAACAGCAAACAUUUCGUCCAAUCUUAUCUGUUCUUCUUUGUCAACCUCGCCAACAACAUCUUGGUUUGUUUGACUCCUGGCAUUCGCACUAUUCGCCCCAACUCCACUUCCGGCAACAUCUCUCAUUCUCAGCUUCAGCUGAAGCCUGCUCAAGCUCCACAGCCAUGGCCCCCUGCAUGCACAAUUGACUCCAAAUAAACAUUCUUGGACUACCAACCUGACCCAAGGCCACCUCGCAAUUCCGAUGAAAUACGUAGGUUGCUCUACCCAGCUGGUGCUCCAAUGGGUUACCUUACAUUGCAAAACAAUAUUGGUAUUUAUAUUUUUGUGGUCCAGCAUUGCUGCAUUUGUCGACAAAUAGUGCACUCGUCGAACAGCAAUCAAGCUUUUUUUAGAAGGAGGAUGUACCCCCGGCCUCUCCAUUCGGAUGAUGCAUUCAACCAUAUUAUUAAUUAUCCACAAAGAUCAUACAAGGUGAUACAUCAAUAAGCCUGAAGCCAUCAUCUUGGCAAUGUUGUUGCUACUUCUAUCCCCUUGAUGAAGGUGUGUCGGAUGUCCGAGCCUAAUACCAUGCAGACAUCGCACCAAAACCUAACAUAUAAAGCCGGGUGUCCCAUCCAAGCCACUACCUGGAAUGGGUCCCACAUCGGUCUGGCAGACUCCCAGUGAGCACCGCACGCUGCAAGGGUCGUCGCCUCCAUCUUCCAUCAGUCCAUCCUCAAAGCAGAACUGAUGCACUGACCGUGACAGGCCUCUCUGCCAUCAAUGCCACCAUGACGCUGGACAGCUUCCUCCUCCUGCGCGAGUCCAUCUCUGUGCAUCAGACGCCAAGUGUCCAUUGCGCCAUGCCGCCGAGACCCACCGUCAAUGAUACGGUUGAUGCCACACCGCUCCACCUACAUGCCAUCUCGCAUCGACUCCGAACUACCAGCAGCUCCACCACCUUGAGCAGUCCCUGUCCGACGCCUUCAGAAAGGAACACGACACCAAAGUACCAUUGUCGCCCAAACAGAGGAACAGAGACUUUUGCAUGCGCUCAUGGCAGAGGUGGGGGGCGUAUGAUCCACACCAAAGCCUCCAGGAAGGGAAUCGGCGCCGACGGCGUAGACUUUGGUGCGGCCGCCACGCCGGCCUGAAGUUUCCCCUCGAUUCAUGCCCACCCGCCAGACCCUAUCCAGGCAGUAUAAGUGUCGACCGUAUUCGCUACCGUUGCCAGCACGAACUGGAGAGUAGAUCUACUGUAGGUAGGGUAUAAUGUUUGGUACACGUGCAAUGUUCAGAUUCAUUUUUCAUUCGUCAACUCCCAUUCCCAGCCUGAAUUACUAGGGCCCCUUCAGGGAGAGAUACGGGGGAGUUACCCCCGUCAAUUCAUAUUACCUUCCCUCCACAACUCCUAUGUCCCCGAACCAUACAGGGGAUUUUUAGUGUCAUAGCCUCUUAAUUCCCAUUCCCCAGCUUUUCUUCCCCCCAACCAAACAGGCUGUAAGAGUGAUUCUUGCAUCGCGCUCCAGCAUCACAACUCCUUGCCGAACUGAAUCUACUAAGUUCCAUACAAAUUUAGCUUGAUUUAUGUACAUAUGUACAAUGUGACGACAGUAGUGGAGUUGCUUUUUCGCUAAAUUCAACACACAAUGGACAGGAUACUGUAUGCCACCUAGUUUAGAGAUAGCUAUUAAAGUUUUAUCAUUUGAGCAUCCUUAUUCAAAUUAAUAUGUGCUAACGAUACUAUUGAGGCUUCUAAGAUUUAAGUACCCAAACUCGACUUCUGUAGAUAAACAUAGAAGUACAAUCUUUGCAUAGGUAUACACUAUCUUCCAAUAUAUGAUUUCAUUCCAUUGUGUAAUUUGGUCGAAAAAUUACGGCGUGCUUUUGGUGACUAGACUAGAGUAGAAUUGGCAUAAGAGCUAAUGCAAGGAAGAAAAUCAUGCCCCAGACAUUUGCAUAGCCCGACUCAAACUUGCCAAAUGUAGCAAGUUUUUUUAUGCAAAUUCCAAAUGAUAUUUAAUUUAUCAAAAAUAAUGAAAUUUAGUUCAACGUUUCAGGCCUGAAGCAAACCUGAAUCAUCUAUACUUCUUAUCCUCCUAAUCUUUGCAGAACCAGCAAAAGUGGGCAAUAAGAACCGAACAAAUGAAGGCCUCUAUUUUGUCUGCAGCACAUAAACCCUUUAUCACUACUAGGACAAGGCCUACUAAUGGCGCACCAGUUUUGCCUACUAAUGGCGCACUACUGGUGCGUCAUUAGUAUCACGCCACUAAUAUUUUUUACUGAUGGCGCAUCAAUAGUGCGCCAUUAGUAUCUGGUAUACUAAUGGUGCACCACUGGUGCGCCAUUAGUAUAGGCCACGGUGCGCCAUUAAUAUUUUUGAAUUUUGAAGGUGGGAAAAUAGAAGUGGCGCACCGUCUAACCCCCAUGGUGCGCCAUUGCUAAUUUUGAAUUUUGAAUUUGGAUCUGGAUCGCGAUUUCUUUGCCCAUUUUUUGCUCUUUUUUUUUGCACGAUAUUAUUUCAAAUUUUGUUCCUGUUUUUGGAUCUUGUACGUUCUUUUGCCGUGUUCUUUUGCCGGAGAGGAGUUCGCCGGAGAGGAGUUUGCCGGAGAGGAGGAGGAGGUCACCGGAGAGGAGUUCACUGGAGCAUCGGAGAGGAGGAAGGAGAAACCAUGAUGGGAUGGGAGGAGAGGAGGGAGAAGGAGCUCACCGGAGAGGAGGGAGGAGGAGCUCACCGGAGAGGAGGGGGGAGGAGCUCACCGGAGAUGAGGGAGGAGGAGCUCACCGGAGAGGAGGGAGNNNNNNNNNNNNNNNNNNNNNNNNNNNNNNNNNNNNNNNNNNNNNNNNNNNNNNNNNNNNNNNNNNNNNNNNNNNNNNNNNNNNNNNNNNNNNNNNNNNNNNNNNNNNNNNNNNNNNNNNNNNNNNNNNNNNNNNNNNNNNNNNNNNNNNNNNNNNNNNNNNNNNNNNNNNNNNNNNNNNNNNNNNNNNNNNNNNNNNNNNNNNNNNNNNNNNNNNNNNNNNNNNNNNNNNNNNNNNNNNNNNNNNNNNNNNNNNNNNNNNNNNNNNNNNNNNNNNNNNNNNNNNNNNNNNNNNNNNNNNNNNNNNNNNNNNNNNNNNNNNNNNNNNNNNNNNNGUGAGGGGAGGGGAAGGGAGGAGAGGAGAGGAGAGGAGGGAGGAGGAGGUCGCCGGAGAGGAGGAGGAGGUCGCCGGAGAGGAGGAGGAGGAGGUCACUGGAGAGGAGGAGGGUAGUAUGGUGGAGGAGAAAAGGGAAGAUGGAGUGGAGGAGUGGAGGAGAGGUGGAGUGGAGGAGAAGAAUGAAGAGGUAAGGAGGAGAGGACAUGCCCAGCCAUAUAUACGGCAUAGUAAUGACGCAUCGUGGGCAGGUGCGCCAUUACUUUUUUUAAUUUUUUUAAUUUUAAAGGCGGGAAGAUAGUAAUGGCGCACCAUGGGCAGAUGCGCCAUUAGUAACUUUUUUUUAUUUUAAAUUUUGAAGGCGGGAAGAUAGUAAUGGCGCACCAUGGGCAGGUGCGCCAUUAGUAACUUUUUUUUAUUUUUUGAUUUAUUUUGAAUUUUGAAGGCGGGAAGAUAGUAAUGGCGCACCAUGGGCAAGUGCGCCAUUAGUAAGUUUGAUUUUUUUUGAAAUUUUUUGCCUCUCCAGAUCUUAAAAGCCCCGUAUCUUUUUUUCUGUUAGGUUUUUGAGGAUUUUAAAAAUGUUUAACGGGGUUCCCCUGUUAAAUUCGGAUGUAACUUUUCGAGUAGAUGAUUUUUCAUAUAAAAAAAAUUCAUCCGAGUUCGUAUGCAAAAGUUAUGCCCAUUUUUACAAAUUCUUGAAAGAUUUUGCAAAAAAGUCGAAAAUUCAUGUUUGUAAAUUUUGCUAACAACUAGAUCACAUAUCACAUGGGAAUCUUAUUUUCUUUUAUUUUUUUGACAUUUCUAUCAUUUUCUUUUUUUUUUAAACUGAAAAGGCGGUCCAGGGGGGUUGCAUUCGGGGGAAUGUUUGGGACAAAUUACUAAUGGCGCACCGUGGGAAGGUGCGCCAUUACUAGUUUCAACUAGUAAUGCCGCACCACUCUCACAGUGCGCCAUUAGUAGUUUCGGAAAAAUUAAAAAAAAAUUACUAAUGGCGCACCGUGGGAUGUGGUGCGCCAUUAGUAUUUGCACACUAAUGGCGCACCAACACAUGGUGCGCCAUUAGUAUUUAGUAAUGGCGUACCACAUGUACAGUGCGCCAUUAGUGUCCAUCCCAUCUAUAGCUCUUUUCCUAGUUGUGUAUGUUCAAUGUACAAAAAACAAAAUUGCAUCAAGUAAAUGUAACAGAAGAGGAAAAUAAGAGAUAUAUGUAGAAACAGAAAUCGAACAUAUCCGGGCAAACACAACAUCUCGCCGCGCAGAUAAAUUCUAGACGUACUUCCGAGGUGAAGAAAGAAGGUGGAUUUAGAAGCAGGAGAGCAAAGACCCGGGGAUGGGGGCGAGAAACAGAGUUCUAAUGCCUUUGGGUCUACAUCCCCUCUGGAUAUGUGUCUUGGAGUGUCUGAUCUCAUGGCCGUGGGGCUCAUGGUGGCCAGAGACGCCCUGCAGCCUACUAUGGUGCAAUAACUAACUCAAAUGCCAUUGACAGCAUGGAGCUAUGCCAGGAGUGUGGCGGCCCUCUUGGACAUCAGCGCACGCGUAGGAUGCUGGUACAUAGCGGUGGGCGCCGCCAUCGAGAUCAAGGUCGGGGGAGACGGGAGGGGUGCCCCUAGGCGUGCUAAAUAAAGGAGCCUGGGAGCUUGCCGGGCGCCUCCAUUGGUGUUAGGCUGCUGUUAAUGCAUGGGUGCUUAGAUGAGGUGCUAAGCACAUUAAAUAGUUUAACAACUAUACUCCCCAAUGCAUAGGUGCUUAGCUUAUGGUUGCUAAGCUUGCUUCAUUUAAUGAUUUAGCAACUAAAGCUCUUCAUGUAUUGGUGGGCUUUUUUUCUUUAAAUGUUUUGCCUAGGUUCACGAGCUUAGCAUUGUCUCUUCCUGGGUCACCACACUCAUCUCCCUCCUCUUAAAUAACUUGCCACAUCAGAUUUUUUGCCUAUGUGAAAAGCUUAGCACCUGUACAAGGUGGAGCAUUGGGAGGGGCCUUAAUGCACUUUUAGCAAUGGUAACAUUACUCCUCGCUUGAAUACCGGUGGACGAUCUCCAAUCACCCAUUGUUGGGGAACGUAGCAGAAAUUCAAAAUUUUCCUACGUGUCACCAAGAUCUAUCUAUGGAGAAACUAGCAACGAGGGGAAGGAGAGUGCAUCUACAUACCCUUGUAGAUCGCUAAGCGGAAGCGUUCAAGAGAACGGGGUUGAAGGAGUCGUACUCGUCGUGAUCCAAAUCAUCGGAGAUCCUAGUGCCGAACGGAUGGCACCUCCGCGUUCAACACACGUACAGCCCGGUGACGUCUCCCAUGCCUUGAUCCAGCAAGGAGAGAGGGAAAGGUUGAGGAAGACUCCAUCCAGCAGCAGCACAACGGCGUGGUGGUGAUGGAGGAGCGUGGCAAUCCUGCACGGCUUCGCCAAGCACCACGGGAGAGGAGGAGUACUUGGGAGAGGGGGAGGGCUGCGCCAGAACUUGGGUGUGGCUGCCCUCCCACCCCCACAUAUAUAUAGGGGCAAGGGAGAGGGGGGCCGGCCCCCUCAGAUCCAAUCUUAGGAGGGGGCGGCGGCUAGGGGGGUUGCCUUGCCCCCCAAGGCAAGGGGGGCGCCCCCUUUUAGGGUUUCCCCCAAGCCCUAGGCGCCUUGGGCCUUGGUGGACGGCGCACCAGCCCACCUGGGGCUGGUCCCCUCCCACACUUGGCCCAUGCAGCCCUCUGGGGCCGGUGGCCCCACUUGGUGGACCCCCGGGACCCUCCCGGUGGUCCCGGUACAUUAUCGAUAGCACCCGGAACUUUUCCGGUGACCAAAACAGGACUUCCCAUAUAUAAAUCUUUACCUCCGGACCAUUACGGAACUCCUCGUGACGUCCGGGAUCUCAUCCGGGACUCCGAACUACAUUCGGUAACCACAUACAAACUUCCUUUAUAACCCUAGCGUCAUCGAACCUUAAGUGUGUAGACCCUACGGGUUCGGGAACCAUGCAGACAUGACCGAGACCUUCUCCGGUCAAUAACCAGCAGCGGGAUCUGGAUACCCAUGUUGGCUCCCACAUGUUCCACGAUGAUCUCAUCGGAUGAACCACGAUGUCAAGGACUCAAUCGAUCCCGUAUACAAUCCCUUUGUCUAGCGGUAUAGUACUUGCCCGAGAUUCGAUCGUCGGUAUACCGAUACCUUGUUCAAUCUCGUUACCGGCAAGUCUCUUUACUCGUUCCAUAACACAUCAUCCCGCGAUCAAAUCUUUGAUCACGUUGUGCACAUUAUGAUGAUGUCUUACCGAGUGGGCCCAGAGAUACCUCUCCGUCACACGGAGUGACAAAUCCCAGUCUCGAUUCGUGCCAACCCAACAGACACUUUCGGAGAUACCUGUAGUGCACCUUUAUAGUCACCCAGUUACGUUGUGACGUUUGUUACACCCAAAGAAUUCCUACGGUAUCCGGGAGUUGCACAAUCCCAUGAUCUAAGGAAAAGAUACUUGACAUUAGAAAAGCUUUAGCAUACGAACUACACGAUCUCUGUGCUAGGCUUAGGAUUGGGUCUUGUCCAUCACAUCAUUCUCCUUAUGAUGUGAUCCCGUCAUCAAUGAUAUCCAAUGUCAAUGGUCAGGAAACCGUAACCAUUUAUUGAUCAACGAGCUAGUCAACUAGAGGCUUACUAGGGACAUGGUGUUGUCUAUGUAUCCACACAUGUAUCUGAGUUUCUUAUCAAUACAAUUAUAGCAUGGAUAAUAAACGAUUAUCAUGAACAAGAAAAUAUAAUAAUAACUAAUUUAUUAUUGCCUCUAGGGCAUAUUUCCAACACCCACUAUGCCGCAUCGCUGCCCAUUAAUGUGUCGCUAUCUCAUCACAUUUCCCGCACGCUGCCCUUCCGAAAGCAUACACUCUUUCUUGCGAUAUUCGUUGUGCUAACUGAGCCGAUAUUAAACAACAGAUGAUGGCAAGCGAAUAUGUUACGACGAGCUUAAAUGGGCUUCUUGUGGGAGAAGGGUAUGAUUAACCAUAAACCACCGAUUUUGUUACAGGAGUAGCAGCCAAUGAGGCAUACAGUCCACUUAGUGCUAUUUAAAAGUAUCUUACGGCCAAAAAACGACCAUCACAAAAUGAUCCAAUGGUUAGGAAUGGUGGUGGCCUGAGAGGGCAGGAAAGAUGCUCAGGUAUAAUGUGUCUACAUGUGCUUCCCACGGUAUUGAGCACGAACAUUUGUUGUGCUUGGACCAGCGUCCCUUAAGGUGCACACUAUCCGAAUAGACUUUGUUGGUUGCCACCCCCAUAUCUCUGGGACAUAGAGUGGAUGUGACUCUCACGGUGAUUGGUAAUGCACCAACUAUUGUCAUACCCAUGAAGCAACCGUACCAAAACAGGGCACUCACACCUACAUGAACUGCUGUUUGCUGACUCUGGCUUCCCCUGCACACCGGAUAGCACAUGUCAUGGUCAGCGCAACUAAAUUAGUGAUGGGAGCCCCACACAUAAAAGGACAGAAGAGAAGAGAGUGACGUUUUGGCACAUGGGAGCAUGCGUUCCUGAUUUUUAAAAUUUAUUUUAAACAUCCUUUGAAAUGUCAAAAAAUUUCAAACAAAAACUUGGCGCGUACAUUUCGAUAUUAUACAUGCUCACAAAAUUGUUUCUCAAAAAACCGACAACUCACGUGUUGCGUGUGAAAAAGAAAAAAUCCGGUGUUAAAAAAUGCUUUUCACUAAACAUCCUUUUGUCUUUUUUACACAAGCCAGAAAAAAUGAUUGGUUUUCUCCGAAACUUGACAUGCACACAUAUAAUGUCGAGAUGUAUGCGCCAAAUUUUUCUUUGGAAUUUUUUCACACUUUGAAAUAUUUUUUCGUGUGCAGGAGCGCGUGCUCCCGGGAGCACCAACAGAUAUCCAUAGAAUAGAUAAGCAGAAGGCACUACACGCCAAGUAGCCACAAAUGAUUUCCUGCAUCUAUUUGGUCCUCUCAGCGUUCAAUCUAGUCUUACAAUACCUGAUCCCAAACCCAAUCUCCCACGAAUACAAGUUGUAGAUGUCCUGCGCCUCACCUAGCGAGUAGCGAGUUGAAUUCAGUCCCAGUUCUGGCUUGAUUACACUCUCCCUAGCCUCCUCUGCACAUUUCCGAAUCGACUGCUCCAAUGCCAUCAUCCUACAUGGACAAGGCCUUUUGUCCGAUGGAGAACUCCUGAGGUGUAACCUGAUUUUUUUAGGAACACAGUCGAUCGGAUAGAUGCAGGCUUACCUCUUUUAUCCAUCCUGGUCCUCCGGAUUGACCCUAUCAACGAACACCAGAAAUAAUAAAAAUUAUAUCUAUAUCCGUAGACCACAUAGCAAAGAUUACAAGCACUAAAGCGAGCCGAAUGCGCGCCGCUAUCAUUACCCCUCCCUCAACGGAGCUGGGCAAAACUUGUUGUAGUAGACAAUCGGGAAGUCGUCGUGCUAAGGUCUGAUAUGUCUCCGUCGUAUCUACUUUUCCAAAAACUUUUUUCCCUGUUUUGGACUCUAACUUGCAUGAUUUGAAUGGAACUAACCCGGAGUGACGUUGUUUUCAGCAGAACUGCCAUGGUGUUAUUUCUGUGCAGAAAUAAAAGUUCUCGGAAUGACCUCAAAAUCCACGGAGCAAAUUUUCAGAAUUAAUAAAAAAUACUAGUGAAAGAAUCAGCGUUAGGGGGCCCACACCCUAUCCACGAGGGUGGGGGCGCCCCCCUCCCCUAGGGUGCGCCCCCUACCUCAUGGGCCCCCUGGACGUCCACCGACCUCAACUCCAACUCCAUAUAUUUGCUUUCAUGGAGAAAAAAAUCAGAGAGAAAGUUUCAUCGCGUUUUACGAUACGGAGCCGCCGCCAAGCCCUAAUCUCUCUCGGGAGGGCUGAUCUGGAGUCCGUUCGGGGCUCCGGAGAGGGGGAUUCGUCGUUGUCAUCAUCAUCAACCAUCCUCCAUCACCAAUUUCAUGAUGCUCACCGCCAUGCGUGAGUAAUUCCAUCGUAGGCUUGCUGAACGGUGAUGGGUUGGAUGAGAUUUACCAUGUAAUCAAGUUAGUUUUGUUAGGGUUUGAUCCCUAGUGAAGGAAAUAUGCCCUAGAGGCAAUAAUAAAGUUAUUAUUUAUUUCCUCAUAUCAUGCUAAAUGUUUAUUAUUCAUGCUAGAAUUGUAUUCACCGGAAACAUGAUACAUGUGUGAAUACAUAGACAAACAUAGUGUCACUAGUAUGCCUCUACUUGACUAGCUCAUUAAUCAAAGAUGGUUAUGUUUCCUAACCAUAGACAUGUGUUGUCAUUUGAUUAAUGGGAUCACAUCAUUAGGAGAAUGUUGUGAUUGACUUGACCCAUUCCGUUAGCUUAGCACUUGAUCGUCUAGUAUGUUGCUAUUGCUUUCUUCAUGACUUAUACAAAGUUCCUACAACUAUGAGAUUGUGCAACUCCCGUUUACUGGAGGAACACUUUGUGUGCUACCAAACGUCACAGUAUAACUGGGUGAUUAUAAAGGUGCUCUACAGGUGUUUCCAAAGGUACAUGUUGAGUUGGCAUAAUUCGAGAUUAGGUUUUGUCACUCCGAUUGUCGGAGAGGUAUCUCUGGGCCCUCUCGAUAAUACUCAUCACUUAAGCCUUGCAAGCAUUGUAACUAAUGAGUUAGUUAUGAAAUGAUGUAUUACGGAACGAGUAAAGAGACUUGCCGGUAACGACAUUGAACUAGGUAUUGGAUACCGACGAUCGAAUCUCGGGCAAGUUACAUACCGAUGACAAAGGGAACAACGUAUGUUGUUAUGCAGUUUGACCGAUAAUGAUCUUCGUAGAAUAUGUAGGAACCAAUAUGAACAUGCAGGUUCCACUAUUGGUUAUUGACCGAGAAUAGUUCUAGGUCAUGUCUACAUAGUUCUCGAACCCGUAGGGUCCGCACGCUUAACGUUACGAUGACAGUUUUAUUAUGAGUUUAUAAGUUUUGAUGUACCGAAGUUUGUUUGGAGUCCCGGAUGUGAUCACGGACAUGACGAGGAGUCUCGAAAUGGUCGAGACAUAAAGAUUGAUAUAUUGGACGACUAUAUUCAGACACCGGAAGUGUUCCGGGUGAUUUCGGAGAAAACCGGAGUGNNNNNNNNNNNNNNNNNNNNNNNNNNNNNNNNNNNNNNNNNNNNNNNNNNNNNNNNNNNNNNNNNNNNNNNNNNNNNNNNNNNNNNNNNNNNNNNNNNNNNNNNNNNNNNNNNNNNNNNNNNNNNNNNNNNNNNNNNNNNNNNNNNNNNNNNNNNNNNNNNNNNNNNNNNNNNNNNNNNNNNNNNNNNNNNNNNNNNNNNNNNNNNNNNNNNNNNNNNNNNNNNNNNNNNNNNNNNNNNNNNNNNNNNNNNNNNNNNCCUUGGUGGGAAGAGAGUGGGGCGGCCAGGGUGGGCCGCGCGCCUCCUCUCCCUCUCGUCCGAAUUGGACUAGGAGGGGGGGCGGCGCCCCCCUUUCCUUUCCCCCUCUCCCCCUUCCUUCCCACUCCUAGUAGGAGUAGGAAAGGAGGAAUCCUACUCCUUCUAGGAAGAGGAUUCCUCCUCCUUGGCACGUCCCAAGGGGCCGGCCGGCCUCCCCUCUUGCUCCUUUAUAUACGGGGGCAGGGGGGCACCCUGGGACACACAAGUUGAUCUACGAAUCGUUCCUUAGCCGUGUGCAGUGCCCCCCUCCACCAUAUUCCACCUCGGUCAUAUCGUCGCAGAGUUUAGGCGAAGCCCUGCGCCGGUAGAACAUCAUCAUGGUCACCACGCCGUCGUGCUGACGGUACUCAUCCCUGACGCUUUGCUGGAUUGGAGCCCGGGGAAUGUCAUCUAGCUGAACGUGUGCUGAACACGGAGGUGCCGUACGUUCGGUGCUUGGAUCGGUCGAGUCGUGAAGACGUACGACUACAUCAACCGCGUUGUGAUAACGCUUCCGCUUACGGUCUACGAGGGUACGUGGACAACACUCUCCCCUCUCGUUGCUAUGCCAUCACCAUGAUCUUGCGUGUGCGUAGGAAAAUUUUGAAAUUACUACGUUCCCCAACAGUGGCAUCCGAGCCUAGGUUUUAUGCGUUUAUGUUAUAUGCAUGAGUAGAACACAAGUGAGUUGUGGGCGACACAAGUCAUACUGCUUACCAGCAUGUCAUACUUUGGUUCAACGGUAUUGUUGGAUGAAGCGGCCCGGACCGACAUUACGCGUAUGCUUACGCGAGACUGGUUCUACCGACGGGCUUUGCACACAGGUGGCUGGCGGGUGUCAGUUUCUCCAACUUUAGUUGAACCGAGUGUGGCUACGCCCGGUCCUUGCGAAGGUUAAAACAGCACUAACUUGACGAACUAUCAUUGUGGUUUUGAUGCGUAGGUAAGAACGGUUCUUGCUAAGCCCGUAGCAGCCACGUAAAACUUGCAACGACAAAGUAGAGGACGUCUAACUUGUUUUUGCAGGGCAUGUUGUGAUGUGAUAUGGUCAAGACGUGAUGCUCUAUUUAUUGUAUGAGAUGAUCAUGUUUUGUAACCGAAGUUAUCGGCAACUGGCAGGAGCCAUAUGGUUGUCGCUUUAUUGUAUGAAAUGCAAACGCCCUGUAAUUGCUUUACUUUAUCACUAAGCGGUAGCGAUAGUCGUAGAAGCAAUAGAUGGCGUAAACGACAACGAUGCUACGAUGGAGAUCAAGGUGUCGCGCCGGUGACGAUGGUGAUCACGACGGUGCUUCGGAGAUGGAGAUCACAAGCACAAGAUGAUGAUGGCCAUAUCAUAUCACUUAUAUUGAUUGCAUGUGAUGUUUAUCCUUUAUGCAUCUUAUCUUGCUUUGGUUGACGGUAGCAUUUUAAGAGGUGUUCUCUCUGAAUAUGCACCGUUGCCAAAGUUCCUCGUGCCCAGACACCACGUGAUGAUCGGGUAUGAUAAGCUCUACGUCCAUCUACAACGGGUGCAAGCCAGUUUUGCACACGCAGAAUAUUCAGGUUAUACUUGACGAGCCUAGCAUAUGCAGAUAUGGCCUCGGAACACAAAGACCGAAAGGUCGAGCGUGAAUCAUAUAGUAGAUAUGAUCAACAUAGUGAUGUUCACCAUUGAAAACUACUCCAUCUCACGUGAUGAUCGGUUAUGGUUUAGUUGAUUUGGAUCACGUAAUCACUUAGAUGACUAGAGAGAUAUCUAUCUAAGUGGGAGUUCUUAAGUAAUAUGAUUAAUUGAACUUAAAUUUAUCAUGAACUUAGUACCUGAUAGUAUUUUUAUUGUCUAUGUUUGUUGUAGAUAGAUGGCUCGUGCUGUUGUUCCAUUGAAUUUUAAUGCGUUCCUUGAGAAAGCAAAGUUGAAAGAUGAUGGUAGCAAUUACACGGACUGGGUCCAUAACUUGAGGAUUAUCCUCAUUGCUGCACAGAAGAAUUACGUCCUGGAAGCACCGCUGGGUGCCAGGCCUGCUGCAGGAGCAACACCAGAUGUUGUGAACGUCUGGCAGAGCAAAGCUGAUGACUACUCUAUAGUUCAGUGUGCCAUGCUUUACGGCUUAGAACCGGGUCUUCAACGACGUUUUGACUGUCAUGGAGCAUAUGAGAUGUUCCAGGUGUUGAAGUUAAUAUUUCAAGUAAAUGCCCGGAUUGAGAGAUAUGAAGUCUCCAAUAAGUUCUACAGCUGCAAGAUGGAGGAGAAUAGUUCUGUUAGUGAGCAUAUAGUCAAAAUGUCUGGGUAUAAUAAUCACUCGAUUCAACUGGGAGUUAAUCUUCCGGAUGAUAGCAUCAUUGACAGAAUUCUCCAAUCACUGCCACCAAGCUACAAGAGCUUCGUGAUGAACUAUAAUAUGCAAGGGAUGAACAAGACAAUUCCCGAGCUCUUCGCAAUGCUAAAGGCUGCGGAGGUAGAAAUCAAGAAGGAGCAUCAAGUGUUGAUGGUCAACAAGACCACUAGUUUCAAGAAAAAGGGCAAAGGGAAGAAGAAGGGGAACUUCAAGAAGAACAGCAAGCAAGUUGCUGCUCAAGAGAAGAAACCCAAGUCUGGACCUAAGCCUAAAACUGAGUGCUUCUACUGCAAGCAAACUGGUCACUGGAAGCGGAACUGCCCCAAGUAUUUGGCGGAUAAGAAGGAUGGCAAAGUGAACAAAGGUAUAUGUGAUAUACAUGUUAUUGAUGUGUACCUAACUAGAGCUCGUAGUAGCACCUGGGUAUUUUAUACUGGUUCUAUUGCUAAUAUUUGCAACUCGAAACAGGGACUACGGAAUAAGCGAGCACUGGCCAAGGACGAGGUGACGAUGCGCAUGGGAAACGGUUCCAAAGUCGAUGUGAUCGCGGUCGGCACGCUACCUCUACAUCUACCUUCGGGAUUGUCUUAGACCUGAAUAAUUGUUAUUUGGUGCCAAUGUUGAGCAUGAACAUUAUACCUGGAUCUUGUUUGAUGUGAGACGAUUAUUCAUUUAAAUCAGAGAAUAAUGGUUGUUCUAUUUAUAUGAGUAAUAUCUUUUAUGGUCAUGCACCCUUGAAGAGUGGUCUAUUUUUAUUGAAUCUCGAUAGUAGUGAUACACAUAUUCAUAAUGUCCAAGCCAAAAGAUGCAGAGUUGAUAAUGAUAGUGCAACUUAUUUGUGGCACUGCCGUUUAGGUCAUAUCGGUGUAAAGCGCAUGAAGAAACUCCAUACUGAUGGACUUUUGGAAUCACUUGGUACUUGCGAAUCGUGCCUCAUGGGCAAGAUGACUAAAACACCGUUCUCCGGUACUAUGGAGAGAGCAACAGAUUUGUUUGAAAUCAUACAUACAGAUGUAUGUGGACCGAUGAAUAUUGAAGCUCGUGGCGGAUAUCGUUAUUUUCUCAGCUUCACAGAUGAUUUGAGCAGAUAUGGGUAUAUCUACUUAAUGAAACACAAGUCUGAAACAUUUGAAAAGUUCAAAGAAUUUCAGAGUGAAGUGGAAAAUCAUCGUAACAAGAAAAUUAAGUUUCUACGAUCUGAUAGUGGAGGAGAAUAUUUGAGUUACGAGUUUGGUUUACAUUUGAAACAAUGCGGAAUAGUUUCGCAACUCACGCCACCCGGAACACCACAACGUAAUGGUGUGUCCGAACGUCGUAGUCGUACUUUACUAGAUAUGGUGCGAUCUAUGAUGUCUCUUACUGAUUUACCGCUAUCGUUUUGGGGUUAUGCUUUAGAGCUGGCUGCAUUCACAUUGAAUAGGGCACCAUCAAAAUCCGUUGAGACGACGCCUUAUGAACUAUGGUUUGGCAAGAAACCAAAGUUGUUGUUUCUUAAAGUUUGGGGCUGCGAUGCUUAUGUGAAGAAACUUCAACCAGAUAAGCUCGAACCCAAAUCGGAGAAAUGUGUCUUCAUAGGAUACCCAAAAGAGAGACUGUUGGGUACACCUUCUAUCACAGAUCCGAAGGCAAGACAUUCGUUGCUAAGAAUGGAUCCUUUCUAGAAAAAGAGUUUCUCUCGAAAAAAGUGAGUGGGAGGAAAGUAGAACUUGAUGAGAUAACCAUGUCUGCUCCCUCAUUGGAAAGUAGUUCAUCACAGAAAUCAGUUCUUGUGACAUCUACACCAAUUAGUGAGGAAGAUAAUGAUAUUGAUCAUGAAACUUCAGAUCAAGUUUCUACUGAACCUCGUAGGUCUACCAGAAUAAAAUCUGCACCAGGGUGAUACGGUAAUCCUAUUCUGGAAGUCAUGUUACUUGACCAUGAUGAACCUACGAACUAUGAGGAAGCGAUGAUGAGCCCAGAUUCCGCAAAAUGGCUAGAAGCCAUGAAAUCUGAGAUGGGAUCCAUGUAUGAAAACAAAGUAUGGACUUUGGUUGACUUGCCCGAUGAUCGGCAAGCAAUUGAGAAUAAAUGGAUCUUUAAGAAGAAGACUGACGCUGACGGUAAUGUAACUGUCUAUAAAGCUUGACUUGUUGCGAAAGGUUUUCGACAAGUUCAAGGGGUUGACUACGAUGAGACUUUCUCACCCAUAGUGAUGCUUAAGUCUGUCUGAAUCAUGUUAGCGAUUGCCGCAUUUUAUGAUUAUGAAAUUUGGCAGAUGGAUGUCAAAACUGCAUUUCUGAAUGGAUUUCUGGAAGAAGAGUUGUAUAUGAUGCAACCGGAACAUUUUGUCGAUCCUAAGGGAGCUAACAAAGUGUGCAAGCUCCAGCGAUCAAUCUAUGGUCUGGUGCAAGCCUCUCGGAGUUGGAAUAAAUGCUUUGAUAGUGUGAUCAAAGCAUAUGGUUUUAUACAGACUUUUGGAGAAGCCUGUAUUUACAAGAAAGUGAGUGGGAGCUCUGUAGCAUUUCUAAUAUUAUAUGUGGAUGACAUAUUGUUGAUUGGAAAUGAUAUAGAAUUUCUGAAUGGCAUAAAAGGAUACUUGAAUAAAAGUUUUUCAAUGAAAGACCUCGGUGAAGCUGCUUACAUAUUGGGCAUUAAGAUCUAUAGAGAUAGAUCAAGACGCUUGAUUGGACUUUCACAAUGCACGUACCUUGAUAAAGUGUUGAAAAAGUUCAAUAUGGAUCAGGCGAAGAAAGGGUUCUUGCCUGUAUUACAAGGUAUAAAGUUGAGUCAGACUCAAUGCCCGACCACUGCAGAAGAUAGAGAGAAAAUGAAAGGAGUUCCCUAUGCUUCAGCCAUAGGAUCUACCAUGUAUGCAAUGCUGUGUACCAGACCUGAUGUGUGCCUUGCUAUUAGUUUGGCAGGGAGGUACCAAAGUAAUCUAGGAGUGGGUCACUGGACAGCGGUCAAGAACAUCCUGAAAUACCUGAAAAGGACUAAGGAUAUGCUUCUCGUAUAUGGAGGUGACAAAGAGCUAGUCGUAAAUGGUUACGUCGAUGCAAGCUUUGACACUGAUCCGGACGAUUCUAAAUCGCAAACCGGAUACGUAUUUUUGUUAAACGGUGGAGAUGUAAGUUGGUGCAGUUCUAAACAAAGCGUCGUGGCGGGAUCUACAUGUGAAGCAGAGUACAUAACUGCUUCGGAAGCAGCAAAUGAAGGAGUCUGGAUGAAGGAGUUCAUUUCUGAUCUAGGUGUUAUACCUAGUGCAUCGGGACCAAUGAAGAUCUUCUGUGACAAUACUGGUGCAAUUGCCUUGGCAAAGGAAUCCAGAUUUCACAAGAGGACGAAGCACAUCAAGAGAAGCUUCAAUUCCAUUCGGGACCAAGUCCAAGUGGGAGACAUAGAGAUUUGCAAAAUACAUACGGAUCUGAAUGUUCCAGACCCAUUGAGUAAGCCUCUCUCACGAGCAAAACAUGAUCAGCACCAAGACUCCAUGGGUGUUAGAAUCAUUACUAUGUAAUCUAGAUUAUUGACUCUAGUGCAAGUGGGAGACUGAGGGAAAUAUGCCCUAGAGGCAAUAAUAAAGUUAUUAUUUAUUUCCUCAUAUCAUGAUAAAUGUUUAUUAUUCAUGCUAGAAUUGUAUUAACCGGAAACAUGAUACAUGUGUGAAUACAUAGACAAACAUAGUGUCACUAGUAUGCCUCUACUUGACUAGCUCAUUAAUCAAAGAUGGUUAUGUUUCCUAACCAUAGACAUGUGUUGUCAUUUGAUUAAUGGGAUCACAUCAUUAGGAGAAUGUUGUGAUUGACUUGACCCAUUCCGUUAGCUUAGCACUUGAUCGUUUAGUAUGUUGCUAUUGCUUUCUUCAUGACUUAUACAAAGUUCCUACAACUAUGAGAUUGUGCAACUCCCGUUUACCGGAGGAACACUUUGUGUGCUACCAAACGUCACAACGUAACUGGGUGAUUAUAAAGGUGCUCUACAGGUGUCUCCAAAGGUACAUGUUGAGUUGGCAUAAUUUGAGAUUAGGUUUUGUCACUCCGAAUGUCGGAGAGGUAUCUCUGGGCCCUCUCGGUAAUACUCAUCACUUAAGCCUUGCAAGCAUUGUAACUUAUUAGUUAUUUAUGAAAUGAUGUAUUACGGAACGAGUAAAGAGACUUGCCGGUAACGAGACUGAACUAGGUAUUGGAUACCGAUGAUCGAAUCUCGGGCAAGUAACAUAGCGAUGACAAAGGGAACAACGUAUGUUGUUAUGCGGUUUGACCGAUAAAGAUCUUCGUAGAAUAUGUAGGAACCAAUAUGAACAUCCAGGUUCCACUAUUGGUUAUUGACCGAGAAUAGUUCUAGGUCACGUCUAUAUAGUUCUCGAACACGUAGGGUCCGCACGCUUAACGUUAUGAUGAUAGUUUUAUUAUGAGUUUAUAAGUUUUGAUGUACCGAAGUUUGUUCGGAGUCCCGGAUGUGAUCACGGACAUGACGAGGAGUCUCAAAAUGGUCAAGACAUAAAGAUUGAUAUAUUGGACGACUAUAUUCGAACACCGGAAGUGUUCCGGGUGAUUUCGGAGAAAACCAGAGUGUCGGAGGGUUACCGGAACCCUCCCGGGAGAGUUAAUGGGCCACAUGGGCCUUGGUGGGAAGAGAGAGGGCGGACAGGGUGGGCCAUGCGCCCCCUCUCCCUCUAGUCCGAAUUGGACUAGGAGGGGGGGCGGCGCCCCCCUUUCCUUUCCCCCUCUCCCCCUUCCUUCCCCCUCCUAGUAGGAGUAGAAAAGGAGGAAUCCUACUCCUACUAGGAGGAGGAUUCCUCCUCCUUGGAGCGCCCCAAGGGGCCGGCCGGCCUCCCCCCCUUGCUCCUUAGGACACACAAGUUGAUCUACGGAUCGUUCCUUAGCCAUGUGCGGUGCCCCCCUCCACCAUAUUCCACCUCGGACAUAUCGUCGCGGAGUUUAGGCGAAGCCCUGCGCCGGUAGAACAUCAUCAUCGUCACCACAUCGUCGUGCUGACGAAACUCAUCCCCGGCGCUUUGCUGGAUUGGAGCCUGGGGAACGUCAUCGAGCUGAACGUGUGCUGAACACGGAGGUGCCGUACGUUCGGUGCUUGGAUCGGUCGAGUCGUGAAGACGUACGACUACAUCAACCGCGUUGUGAUAACGCUUCCGCUUACGGUCUACGAGGGUACGUGGACAAUACUCUCCCCUCUCGUUGCUAUGCCAUCACCAUGAUCUUGUGUGUGCGUAGGAAAAUUUUGAAAUUACUACGUUCCCCAACACCUAGUAUCCACUAUGUUCUGAGUUUGAUGUUGCUAUGACUUUGCUAUGCUCAAUGCUUGUCACUAGGACCCAAGUGCCAUGAUUUUAUAUAUGAACCUAUUAUGUUUUCAUGAAUAUAUGUGAGUUCUUGAUCCUAUCAUGCAAGUCUAUAGUCACCUAUUAUGUGUUAUGAUUCCACAACCCCGAAGUGACAAUAAUUGGGAUACUUCUCGGUGAUGACCGUAGUUUGAGGAGUUCAUGUAUUCACUAUGUGUUAAUGCUUUGGUCCGGUACUCUAUUAAAAGGAGGCCUUAAUAUCCCUUAGUUUCCAUUAGGACCCCGCUGCCGCGGGAGGGUAGGACAAAAGAUGGCAUGCAAGUUCUUUUCCAUAAGCACAUAUGACUAUAUUCAGAAUACAUGCCUACAUUACAAUGAUGAACUGGAGCUAGUUCUGUGUCACCCUAUGUUAUAACUAUUACAUGAGGAAUCGCAUCCGACAUAAUUAUCCAUCACUGAUCCAAUGCCUAUGAGCUUUUCACAUAUUGUGCUUUGCUUAUUUACAUUACCGUUGCCACUGUUACAAUUACUACAAAACUGCUACCGUUACUUUUGCUACCGUUACCGUUACUUCCAUACUACUUUGCUACUAAAUACUUUGCUGCAGAUACUAAGUUAUCCAGGUGUGGUUGAAUUGACAACUCAACUGCUUAAUACUUAAGAAUAUUCUUUGGCUCCCCUUGUGUCGAAUCAAUAAAUUUGGGUUGAAUACUCUACCCUCGAAAACUGUUGCGAUCCCCUAUACUUGUGGGUUAUUAAGACUAUUUUCUGGCACCGUUGCCUAGGAGCAUAGAUCUAUUCUUUGAAUCACUUGAGAUUUCUAUCUGCUGGUCACUAUGAGGAACUUCAAAGACGAAAGAACUAAGAUUUAUCCCUCAACUACGAGGGGAGAUAAGGAACUACCAUCUAGAUCUGCACUAGAUUCUCCUUCUGUUAUGAGUAAGCUUGCGACACCUAAACCUGCUUCUGCUAUUAAUUCUGAUAUUUCGCAUGUUAUUGAUGAUGCCACUUCUACUAUGCAUGAUACUUAUGAUGAAACUACUUUUGUGCUUGAUACUACUGUGCCAUUAGGUGAAUAUCUUGAUGCACAACUUGCUAGGGUUAGAGAGAAAGAAAUUCUUGAAACUGAUAUUAUUGAAGAUAGUGAUGAUGAAGGUUCUCCCCCUAAAUAUGAAUUGCCUGUUGUUCCUGAGGGUUAUGUUAUGGAUGAAGAAACUGUUAGAGAUUUUCUUGCUUGCAAUGAUAGAUCUGAUCUUAAGAAGUUAUUAGCUAAACUGAAACAGAAAACUCUGAAUGCUAGAAUGAAAUAUGACCGUGCUUUUUCUACUUCACCUAUCUUUAUUACUGAUAAGGAUUAAGAUUUCUCUGUUGAUCCUGAGAUAAUUACUUUGGUUGAAUCUGAUCCUUUCUAUGGCUAUGAAUUUGAAACUGUUGGGGCACAUCUUACUAAGUUAAAAGAUAUAGCCACCCUGUUCACUAAUGAUGAGAAAUCUCGCUACUACUAUAUUCUUAAGAUAUUUGCGUUCUCAUUAAAGGGUGAUGCUAAAACUUGGUUUAAUUAUUUUGAUCCUGGUUGUGUGGGUAGUCCCCGGGAUAUGAUUUAUUACUUCUCUGCUAAAUAUUUCCUUGCUCAUAAGAAACAAGCUGCCUUGAGGGAAAUAUAUAAUUUUGUGCAAAUUGAAGAAGAGAGUCUCCCACAAGCUUGGGGGAGGCUUCUCCGGUUGCUUAAUGCUUUGCCUGAUCAUCCUCUUAAGAAAAACGAAAUACUUGAUAUCUUUUACUAACUGAUGCUUCCAAGGACAACUUGGAUAGUUGUGCUGGUUGUGUUUUCAGGGAAAGAACAGUCGAUCAAGCUAAAUUGCUAUUGAAUAAUAUGUUGACUAAUGAAAAUAAUUGGACUCUUCCUGAGCCAAUUCUUGAGCCAACUCCUAAACCUACUCCGAAGAAGAGGGGUGUUCUAUUUCUUAGUCCCGAAGAUAUGCAAGAGGGAAAGAAAUCUAUGAAAGAAAAAGGUAUUAAAGCUAAAGGUGUUAAGAAUUUACCUCCUGUUGAAGAAAUACAUGGUCUUAAUUUACCACCUAUUGAAGAAACACAUGGUCUUGAUAACCCGACACAGGUAGUAAAGGUAAAUUCUCUCUAUAGAUAUGAUAAGGUUGAAAUCCCGUCUACUAAGUUUGCUAGCCAAUGCUUGGAUGAAUUUGAUGACUUUAUGGCUAGACAAGAAAAUUUCAAUGCUUAUGUUGGUAGAGAAUUAAAGAGUAAUUCUUAUAUGAUUGGACGCUUGAGUGAUUAUAUGGCUAGAGUUAAAGGUGAACUUAAACUCAUUAGUAAAUAUGCUUCUAUGGUUACCACUCAAGCAGAAUAAGUACUUAAAGCUCAAAGUCAUUUGCUCGAUGAAUUAAAUAAUAAACAUGAUUUUGUAUUUAUAGUGGCUACUAGAACGGGUAGAAUGACUCAGGAACCUUUGUAUCCUGAAGGCCACCCUAAGAGAAUUGAGCAAGAUUCUCAGAGAAAUAAUGUAGAUGCACCUAGUCCUUCUAAAAAGAAGAAAAAGAAAAAUGAUAGGACUUUGCAUGCUUCUAGUGAACCCGUUGUAGACACACCUGAGAAUCCCAAUGAUACUUCUAUUUCUGAUGUUGAAACACAAUCUGGUGAUGAACAUGAACCUAGUGAUAAUGUUAAUGAUAAUGUUCAUGUUGAUGCUCAACCUAGAAAUAAUAAUGAUGUAGAGAUUGAACCUGCUGUUGAUCUUGAUAACCCACAAUCAAAGAAUCAACGUUAUGAUAAGAGUGAUUUUGUUGCUAGGAAGCACGGUAAAGAAAGAGAACCAUGGGUUCAGAAACCCAUGCCUUUUCCUCCUAAGCCAUCUAAGAAAAAGGAUGAUGAGGAUUUUGAGCACUUUGCUGAAAUGAUUAGACCUAACUUCUUACGUAUGCGCUUAACUGAUAUGCUUAAAGUGAAUCCUUAUGCUAAAUACAUGAAGGAUAUUAUUACAAAUAAAAGAAAGAUACCGGAAGCUGAAAUUUCCACCAUGCUUUCUAAUUAUACUUUUAAAGAUGGAAUACCUAAGGAACUAGGAGAUCCAGGAGUACCAACUAUACCAUGCUCCAUUAAAAGAAACUAUGUUAAAACUGCUUUAUGUGAUCUUGGAGCCGGUGUUAGUGUUAUGCCUCCCUCUUUAUAUCGUAGACUUGAAUUGAAUAAGUUGAGACCUACUGAAAUAUCUUCGCAAAUGGCCGAUAAAUCAACUGCUAUACCUGUCGGUAUUUGUGAGGAUGUGCCUGUUGUGGUUGCAAACAUCACUAUCUUAACGAACUUUGUGAUUCCUGAUAUUCCUGAGGACAAUAGCAUGUAUAUUAUCCUUGGUAGACCCUUUUUGAAUACUGUAGGGGUUGUUAUUGAUUGCAACAAAGGCAAUGUCACUUUUCAUAUUAAUGGUAAUGAGCAUACGGUACACUUUCCGAGGAAACAACCUCAAGUUCAUAGCAUCAAUUCUAUUAGAAAAAUUCCAACUAUUAUUAUUGGAGGUUUUGAAUUUCCUCUUCCUACUGUCAAGAAGAAAUAUGAUAUUCUUAUUUUUGGGGAUGUGCAUAUCCCCAUUAAGGUAACCUGGUGUCAUUCGAAAUUUCUCCGGUUCCAUGUUAUUCGGAAUGAGUUUGUUAACAAGACUUGAUCAACCUUGUUAGUGGAUUCCUUUUGAUGAGCAUGAGAUGGAUGAAGUUAGAAAGCACAACCUCCUGUACCCUCCUUUUACUUUCUGUUAUUUAGAUUAAAUAAAGUAAAAAUAGUAUUUUCUGUCUGUUUUCUGGAUUAUCCAUGCAAUAAACAAUACCCCGAAAAUAAAAUUUCUCCAAAUGCCCUACAAAUUUAGUAUGAUUUUUCUGGAAAAUUUGAGAAUAUUUGGCACUGAGAACACAACAGGGGGAGCUGGCACCUGGCCACGAGGGUCCAGGGCGCGCCCACCCCUAUAGGGCACACCCCCUGCCUCGUGGGCCCAUGGUGGCCCCCUCCACUUAUUCCCGCACCCACACACUUCUUCUUCCUCCCAAAAAAAUCACCAUCUAGCUCAAGCACGAGUUCUAGCUCAUUUUGCUGCAGUUUUUGAUCUCCUUGCUCAAAGUUCCAUUCACAAAACUGCUUUGGGAGAUUGUUCCUUGGUAUGUGACUCCUCCAAUGGUCCAAUUAGUUUUUGUUCUAGUGCUUUAUUCAUUGUGGCACCCCGGCUCAGAGAAACCGGAACGCCCCGUAUUCCAGCCCAAAGAUCAAGGAGAAGUCUUCUAGAAUACGGCACUGCUUAGCAUAGAACAAACCAGCUUUCUACUAUUACACAAAUAUGAAUACAAGGUCUCCGAUAUUACAAUGAAUAACAUCGAUACGGCGACACUAUGCCAUCCUCGGUUACUCUAUGCAAGCAGCAGAACAACUCGAAGUAGCGGAAGAACUCUAGCAGCGGACCAAUGACGAUGGUGGUGAACUCCACUCCGCAGGGACUCUGGCUAGAACGCUUAUCCUAACUCCGUCGUGGCCCGUCCCACUCUAGGACAAGGAUCCGAAAACUAACUCAACAAUGGGCACACAAGGCUUAUGUCCGCCUACCUAAUCGGGGUAGCGCGCGCCCAUAACCUUCCCUCGUUGGAGGCACCGGCGAGAGGCACAACAAUAGACCCAGUUAGGACCGACCCAUACCGGUAAGCGUGGUUGCACUGGUCAGCAUCGAUUCAGCGGCACCAUGACUCAGCCAACAGUUGUUCAAGUUCAAUUUAAUCCGGUUAACUUGAAUGCAAAUAUGCUGAGUCAUGAUAAAAUGCAUGAACAUGAUAUCAACAUCAUCAUGAGUGUAUCACAUAACUUUCCACCAUAUCAACAAUAAAUCAUAUCCACUGAGCAUGGCAUACUGACUAGCACGACCAUCACCAACAUCAACAUGUACUACUAGCAAUCAUAAAUAUAUGAAAGUUAAUACUAGCAGGUAGAACAUGAUAACAGAGUACAAGACAUCAUAGCACAAAGGUUAACAUGCAACUCUAAACAUCACCGGAACAACGAUAACCAUCUUGUCAACAAGCAAAUAUUUAAUAAAGAUUCAAGUUGAAAACCAUGGCUACUGCACGACUAUCAUGCAAGUGGGUAUUGUGGCUUGCCUGGGGAUGAAGAAGGCACCGGGGAGAAGUGCGGUGAAGCCGCGAAACGAAUUGCUGGAAAAUGUUGUCUCUCGGAGGGGGCUGACUAAGGGCAAGGGCAAAAUGUUCAUUUUCAGUAUGCCAAAACAUAAUGAAAGUUAGACCAACAGAAAGGGCUCGACGAAACAAAGAAGUGAGCAUUGGAUUCACCUCGUUUGGAGUUACGGAUAAAAAGAUAUAAGGGUUUUACUGUGAGGGACCUAUCUGUAAACAUUUAUUUUACAGAUUGGGCCAAAACAAAAAAACGGAAAGCGCAUGCCAAGAUUUACGUUUCCACUUAUCCAGCGUGACAGUGGCGGGGCCGGCUCCUGUGUGGCCGACAGGCGGGUCCCACCUUAUCCACUCCCUCUCUCUCCCCCCUUCUCUUCUUCCUCUCUCCUUCUCCCGACGCCGCACGCAGAGCAGAGGAGAGGCCGCCGGCGCCGACGCUCGCUCCGGCCACUCGGGCCACCUCCGACGGAGCUUGGACCGCCGGAGUGCUCAGGACGGCGAGGCGCACCCGUCCCACCACCACACGAACAUCGGGGAGACUCGGGCAGGGCGGGACCAUGGCCACGGCGAACGGGGCUUCGGCCGAUGAUAGAGGACAAGGCCAUGGCAAUUCCGGCGACUAACGGAGGGCUGCAGAGAGGCUAUGAUGGCUGGCUGACCUACUAGAGGUGGAAGAUACAGGAGAGGGGCUUCGGUUCGGCGGAAUCGGACUGGACAGGGGCGGCGGCCAUGGCGGCAAGGGCGGGCUCAGGAGCUCUUGGAGUUCGAACGAGUGGACGGGGAGGUUGCUGGGAGUGAGGCGAGUCUCGGGGUGAGCUCAGACAAGGCCGGGGAUGGCUUAAAUAGCCGCGGGGCAAGGUGGCCGACCUGGCACCACCGCGGACGCGUGGCCGGCGCCACGGACGCGUGCCCGCGCGCAUGAACUCAGGGGAAAACGACGGAGGAGGAGGAGUGGGGGCUCUCAUGGGGCAGAGGAUGCCAAUGGGGCGCAGGGAGGAAGACUACGGUCACGGGAAGAUCCAAAACCCCACUGUGCUCUCGUGUUCACGCGGCGGCGAGCGUCGAUGAGCAAGCAGACGGAGGGGGAGAGGGGUCCAGGGGAACGACGAUGAGGAGAGGAAGACAAUGGACAGGCUCACGAGCGCGAAAACGGCAAGAGGGGGAGGGGCGCGAGCAAGAAGACGCUCUGGGCGUGGCCAUUGCACGCCAAAACGGUGGUCACCAUGUGAACCGGUGCACACAGUGCCACAAGUGAUGCCAAACCAUGUCUGGGGGUUAGUCCCUCAUGGGUAAGUUGUAACUACGGGGGUAACUAAGUGAAAACGUCUCUGGUUAAAUACUUAGUGAGCUCUGAAGUUUACUGCAGUAAACUUUACCAGCUCAAUAUGAUCAACAGGGAGUUACCUGAAGCCACGGAAUUUGUCUGGGGUGUAUAGCUAUGGAGGGACUAUGAUCCUGGAGGUUUUGAGGGGAAAUGGAACAAGAUAAAUCGUAUUUGCUUUGCAACUGCCAAAAUGGUCCAGAAAUGAAGAUUAGGAUGGUGCACUCACAUGGAGUGUCCACUUGAGCUCAAAUUGGGCAAGGCUUAGUCAUUUGGUCAUAUGAAGAUGCUCACAAAGUAUCAUACCAUUUGGCAAAGCCAAAAUGGUACUUGCUUCACAAACAUCUCUACUGACCAGAAACUUGAAAUAAUUAUGGUGAUCAAAUGGAUCAAUGAAAUGAUGCCAAAUUGGGUGGAGAGAUGUUUUAUGGGUAUAAGAAGGAUCUGGUAAUUUAUCAGGAUUUUUGAAGCAAUAUAAAAUACACUUCCUUCACAACCUGGAAAUAUUGCUAGAAACAAAGAUUUGCUCCUAUGCUCACAUAGAUAAUUGGAUGGGGCUGCAUAUGGGUGGAAGGGGUUAGUAUGAGCACUUUAAGGAGUGUGCAAAAUUUUAACUCAUUUUGAGACUCCUUGCUAGUACUUCCUGCAUAAAGCCUUCCGUUUGACAGAAACUUUGAAAAAUCACUGAGGAAGAUUGGCUAGGCAAAUAAAUUUAAACUUGUGCAUGGGGCAAUUAUUUGGACAUGUAAACAUGCCCAAAAAGGUUGGGAUUCAAUAGGAGAAAUAUAAAUGACACUUCCUUCACAAAGUGCCAUGCAGGGCAAAAUAGAAAAAGGAAUUUUUGGGGAAUUAUUUAAUGGAAAUAAAAAGUUUUGCCAUAUUUGAGCAAGAUAUGACCCAAACAAUUUAUGAGAAUUAUUUGGGAAUUUUUGGAGUAAUGGAAACAGAGGUUGCUUCACAACCUAGGGCAAUUUGAGUUAUUCUUUAAUUGAAAAGGAAUAUUCCCAAUAAAAAGAAUAUUAAGAUUUGGGCUAGGAUGGAAAUGACAGGGUCUAGCGAAAGAUUUGGGGAUGACAAGCCACUCUGCAAGCAAAGAAGAGGUCAUCUCGUUCAGUUUCCAGACCACAAAGCCACGGAAAAAGAAAACUCAGGCAAAAACCUCAGAAAAACAAAAGAAAAAGAAAGGGCCAAAAAUCAGGCUGUCACAAACCUUACCCCCUUAAAGAAAUCUCGUCCUCGAGAUUUGGUUGCUCAGGGAACAAGUAUGAAUAUUCUGACUUGAGGAAACCGUUUCCAACUCGGGUAUCCUUUUUUCCUUUAUUGGUGUUCCCAUUAAAUUUUUAUCUGACUGGCCCUGGGGUGGUUUGAUUUGCUUUAUCCACAUUCUGACAGAUCUUACCUUGCUUGCUCAUGCUUAUAUAGGCUCCAAUUUCUUUUUAGAUCUGCUGACUAGCUGAGUGUGAUUUAAUUAUCACGACUGAAAUAUAUGUCCGUCUCACAAAUCCAAAAGUGAUUUCCGCUGGGUGUGCCACCUGGCACUGACAACCUUUCAUGUAAUGAUGAUUUCUGAUGAAAACUCAAGCUCUGACUCAUUGCAUUGGGUUUCUCCACUAAAUGCAGGUCCUUUGGGUUCCAAACAGUGAGUUAAAACAUAACCAUUUCCUGACAGAUUCUGACGCAUCGCAGGAGUUUCUGAAUCAUCUUACCGGUUCCACUGUCGUGAGUAUCGGAUCCGUACCAAAUAUUUGAUUGUCUCCUGUCGCGGCCAGCAUAAAGGGUUUGGCCUGUAUUAUAAUAUCUGCAGAGUUGACUGAUGGUGGUUCUGACGGAAAACUUUUGUUCAUGACAGGCUGUCCAUGAUGAUUCAUAUUAGUGAGGACUCAGGCUUCCAGACUGUUAUCCUCAUGCUGAUUAUUCAUGCUGUAGGCAUAUCCAUGUGGAUCAAUUACUGACUUAGACUGUCCGGGGAAUCUGCACCAUGGGGGUCAUGUACGAUUUUCAUACCUGCCUCACUGGUCUUGCUCCUUCAUUAUUGUUUUCUUGGUCUGGAUCUUUGGCUAAAAGAGCUGGGCCAUAUUGUUUCUUUGUAUGACCAUAGAUACUGUUGGUGCAAUUUUCUCAGCAAUCGUAGCUUAUUCUCAUUUUUCUAACAGGGUAACCCAUUAAAUGGCAGGUUCAACACCUCUCAAGUUCUGAUUGUUGGGAAAUGAUCAUCCAAAAUCCUUGCAAGAACUCUGCAAAUAAAUCAGUAGCCACCAGAAUGGUCUUUAUAACUCAGAUCUGGGACAUUACUGAAAUAACUCAACCACGGCUCAAGACGGCCGAAAAACAGCUCAGGGCAUGAGACCGGGUCGAUAAGAAGAAGGUGGCAGCUCCCUAAAAUAGCCAAAAGCAGCUAUAGGGCUACUGUCACAAAAAGAAACUCAACAGCUGUACGAGACAGCCGAAAAGUAGCUCAGACUCGUGAUAGUUGUUGAAGAGAGAAACAAAAAUCGGCAUCCACCCCGGAUAGCUAGAAACAUCUUAGGUCACAGGCGUGGUGCCGUCAUUGGAGAAAAGGGGACAAGGGCCCAUCAGGAUCAUUUUCCAGGUUCACGGGUACUUGUAUUGAGCUCAUUGAUGUCGUCAAUCCUCAUAAUCCUUUGUCACACUGUGGUGUAUACUGGCUUUCUUCUAUUAACCAUUCUCACGUGGUUGUUGGAUCCUCAUCCGAGUGACUUGUAAAAUCUUGAUGGUAUUCUCAUUGCAUAUAUAUGAGAAUCUGAUUCCCGAGAUAGAUGUGUAUUCUGACUGAUUCUUGAGAUUCACUGCCAUAUGUUGGCAAUUCACAGUGUACUACCUUGUACCAAUGUCUUACUGAGGGAUAUUAGCUGGCUUGUGCUCGAAGCUUUCAUCGGAUAGCUUGCUGAAGAAGACUGGGUAUCGUGCUUCAGAAACUUACCCCCUUGAAGACUUUGCUGGGGAAAGACUCUGUACCUUAUGCUGGAAGCUUUUGAAGUUGCUUACUGAAGAAGACAGGGUACCUUGCACGGGAAGUCGUCCAUGUAUCGUACUGAGGAAGAUAGAUGAAUCUUGCCUUGGAAGCUUCUCUGGUAUUUUGCGAUUGAAGAUUGGGCUGCUUACACUAGAAGCUUCUUAUUGUGAUAUGCAGACCAAUUUCCACAUAUAUAACAAUCUGAAUAUUUUUUCUAUUGAUUUCUUGCAUGAAAUGGGGUUUUGCAGGACUAUCCUCCUUUCUGAGUAUAUGCCAUAUUUUUGCCUGCUUCCACAUACAUCGAGUUCCAAAAUCAUCCUCAACGAAAAAUUAAACUUGUAUCUGAGCCAUACCCUUGAUAAUAUUCUGUCAAGCUUGCACACAAUUUAUCUUCUUGCUAAUUUAAUCAUUUUGUUGUGAUGAGUGCACGUAAUGCAAACUUGAUACUGAUGGUCCAUCCAGGAUUUCUUUUGCAUCCAGACAAGAUAUUCCCAAUUUCACUGCGGUCAGCUGAUAAUUCCAUUCUGUUUAGCUGAAUUUCCAAAUAUAUGCAUUUCUUGCUGACUCUUCUUGUCUGGUGUCGGCUGACGAGCAACUUUAAUAGGGGGAAAUUUGUAACACCGAAGGCCCAAAGAAAGGAACAACAGAAACGACUAAAACAAAAGCACACAAGCAUACUACUAAUAUAAUUAAUCAAGAAAUCAUCACAUAUUACUGCUACUCACACAAUAAUAUGCAUGCACACCUAAUCACACAAAUCUCACGGAAACUCCGGUAUUAAGGUCUAGCAUGUUGUGAUGAUGUGCAUGAGGACGAAUAAAUGUGUGGAAGAAUUGGUGUAAACACACUACACCACGCACUAGACUUCCCUAUCGGUGUGUGUUGGGAAAACUCAUUUAUACUGACACACAGUCGGUCGGAAAAACUUGUAUCAGUCAGUAGGUCGGGAAUACACACUUGUAGCGUCUAGCAGUCUGUCGGGAAUGCUGGUAUAUUUCACGUCUGAUGGUCGGUCGGGAAUAGAAAGACUUCCAUCGAACUAGCAGUCGGCAAUUUUUCCCGACCAACUGUUGGUGGCUAAUUGGGCCGAUCAGUCGCGCACGCGGGAACGUGAAACAGUUGGCGCCGAAAUGAGCGCUCCCCAUGAAAAACCCUAUCUCCCCUUUUCCCCUUCACCCCCCAAAUCCCUCAGAUCUGGCACACAGUUUCUGCAUCCGCCGCCGCCCCCGCUCGAGUUCUCCCUCCGCCGCACAUGCUGCUCCCCACGCCGGCCAUGUGCUCUCCAGCCGGCAGGGCCGUCGCAUCCUCUCUCCCUCCCGUCCGCCGCUGACCCCACUCCACACUGCCGCUGGUGGUACCCCGUACACCAUACUGCCGCCGCCUCCACCGGUAGGUGCUUUCUCUGUCCUCCCCCCCUCCUCCGUCUACAGGUGCUCUCUCCUCCUGUCCGUGCGCCCUUCCCUUCACCGUCGCUCACUGUGCUGCCCUACACGCACAGGUGGUCUUGCUGUCGCCGUCCAAACCCUGCCGGGAGCUUCCCUUUUCGUCCGCGCCCAAGCUCACCAUCUCCUGGAGGUGCUGCCGGCCAAGAAGGUAUGCUCCAAGAUGCCUCUUCCAGAUCCAACUACGACAGUGGGUUGGUUUUAGUCCUUCUAAUGCAAGGUCUUUAUCCACCUCGUGUGUUAUCUAUUUCCCAGCAAUACAACGAUUUCUCUUCGGAAGAAUUGUUUUUCCCCUCCACAUGUUCCUGCUUAUGUUAUGUGUGGAUUUUGAAAUCUAAUUUACACGUACUAUGUGCUUUGAGAAGAAAACAAUGUAGUUUUUUUGCAUGAGCACACCUUCUGCAUAGUGGUCAAUUUGGUUGACCUUCGUUAUCAAAAGAAAUUUGCUUAGUGUAUUGUCAUCAUAAGUAACUAGCAUACUGCUUAAAUUUGGAACAUAGAACUUAGCUAUAAAUCUUAACUAUGAUGAUACUUUGUGGAGAAUGGCACAUUUAGAUUGAUUUUAAUGAUAUAUUUAUUGCUCUGAACCUUGGGUUAUCACCAUAGUUUAGACUCUUGAGUGUUGUUCUGGCUUUGAAAAGUGGGAUCCGAGAGAAUAUAUGAAAAUGCUAAUGAUGUCCUGUGACAAGUUGAGAUCAUGCACAAGAACAAUAAUUAUCUGUGUAGCAGUAAUACAUUAUAAGGCAAACCAAAACUUGAGAUUCUGGUUCAGUUUCAGCUCUUGCCUCCGCCCAUAAAUUAAGAUACCAAUUUAGCGUGGCACCUUUAGUUCCUAGUUGUCAUGAUAACAAUACUGUACCUGACUUGCAUAAUCUCUUGCUAUUCCUUGAUGAGCAGCAACUUAUUUUGAACUUGUAUAUUUUAGAAUUUGCCUUUUCCUGUUAUUUUGUGUGUGGACAAUGUAUGACACCACAUGUAUAACAUUGUUGGUGAACAUUUAAAGCAGUGCCUGGCAAAAGAAGGGGGCCAAACCUACUAACCUGCGGGAUCCGAACGACAUGUGGAUUUCCAAAAGGUUUUUUCUUAUACUGUUAGACACUAUUUGAUAAUGAUAUAAUGAAUUCUUGCUAGACUUAAUUGUUUCCUAUGAAGUUCAAUUCCUGGAACACCUAUUUUGUUUCCUAUGAUCCACAUGCGAGGCAUAGAAAGGGUUUGAUUUUGAUUUUAGUUUCAGUUUCAGAGUUCUAUUCACAUUUUGAAUUUUCUAGUUUUUUUUGUGUGUGGACAGUGUGUGAGGCAUUUAAAUUCACUAUUAAUCAUGUGUGCAGGUGCAACUAGCAUGGACAAAUAUUGGAUGGAUACACCUAGGUACAACACCCCAUAUGUUAAACAUCUUAGAUUAGAUGUUAGUACUUGCUGAAAUCUGAUGCAACGCGCUGCAUAUGUACACUUGCAUGUAGGCAUACGGAGAAGUACUACAAGGGCUUGCCAGAUUCUUACAAUGCAUUUAGUAAAUGUUCAGUUGAGAAUCAGGGAUUCAAUAUUCUAUAUUAUUCUUCUAAGGGUUUUUAGCAUACAAAAGUAUGCAUGGUUGUGCAGACUUUUAGCUUUAUUUUUAACAAGCUAUAGUUAAGUAAAGCAUCUGCUGUUAACGACCUGAUAUUUUUUAGUUGUACAAGUUGUUGCCAUCAAGUUGAAUGACAAAGUGAAACAUAACCUUUAACUUUGUCGUUUGUUUUGAUGUCCUAGUGCAGUGAUACAGCAAACAAUGUAGAAUGCCCUCACUUACUACUGACUAGCAUAUGGAACUAUGUGCUAGUCCAAUAAACACAUCUCCAGUUUCCUAUUAUUUCUUUGUUACAUAGGAAAUACAUGCAGCACUUCGUAAAUGGUUCCUUGUCCCUGUUUUUUUAUUGUGCACAGAGCUUGUAACUUUUCGGUGGGCCACUAUUAGAGGCCUGACCUAUAGAAAUUCACCGUGGUAAAUACCGCCAACCUCGCAGCCUGCUCCUCAUGUAGAUGUAAUUGUGUUGUCUUCAUACUUCACAGGUUUUAUGCUAGCCGUGGAAUAUUUUUCGCCACGUACGUUAUUCACCUAGGUAACUCCGCUGCUCUGUUACCACGAGCAGCUCCAUGCCUCAGUGAGGCCGGUCCCUAUUUUUUAGGACUAGGUGUGCUACUAUUCCUAUUUCCUACUGAUUUGUCCACUUUCUCUCUGUCCUACUACUCUCUUUUCAUUAAUCCCCCGAAUCUCUAAUCUUUGUUUGUGCAGAUUCUCUCUUACCUAUGAAUACAAGGUCGAUGAAAAUCCAAGCAAGUUGCAAGGAAGAUUGAUCUAUGUAAUAAUGCAAUAUGCAAGUUCUGUUGUCUCUGCUUAAUAACUUCUUUUUGUGAAAUUUAGUUGCAUUGAAUGAUUAAUUCCUCUCAUGCCAAUGUGGCAAUGUCUCUCGUCUGAAUUCUCAAUUGUCUUUGCCAGUUACAUAGUGGCUUACAUGCCACCUGGAUACUGGAGUAGCAUAGUAUCUGGGAAUAUGAUUUUAUUCUUUAGUCAUUUGUAUGCCACAUCUGGUAUCGUUGGUCCUUUCUGAAGGCCAAUAUGAAAGGGCAACUUAUAUAUGUCAAAUCGCAUGGGUAUUUUAGUUGGUACUUUCAGGUUUUGAUAUUACUCUAUCACUAGAAUUUCCUUUCGAACAUUGCAAUUAGCUUUUAUCAAAGCAUGGUAAGUAUUGAGAAAUUUGUUCAUCAUACCUCCCAGGUAAACUGGAAGUAUUGUAGUAGUAGUCAAGCAGGAACCAAUUCCAAUUGUAUCCUGGGGAUUUUCUACCUUAUUCUAGCUCCAGUGAAUAAUGUUUGCUGUGGCAGAUAAAGAAUAAUGUUUGCACUUACCUCACCCUGUCCUAAAUUGGUUUGCUUACAAAUGUUGCACAUGUCUUAUGUUUCCAUAGUUAGUUUAUUAUUGGAAAUUGGUGAUGAUCAGGUAAGGAAAGAAAUCUUCAAGUCUCAGGUUUUUCUAUAACCAUUCCCCCAUGGUGGUAAGCUCUCCCAGCAAAUCAUGAUGUGACUCGGAUCAGGUGUGCAUUUUUUCCUUUUUGUACUGUAAAAAAACUUUCCACUAAGCACACUAAAGUGUAGCACUCAAUAAACAAACUUCAUGAUAUUCUAUUCGAAUAAAGUAAUCUAUGAUGUUCUUGAAGUUUUGUCACGAGUGCCUUAUAUAAGUGCACCAUGGCCAUAAGUACGAGUAGCAUGCAUAUGUGCAUUGAGUAAUCCAACGUGAGGAAUAAGAGAGAUAAAAGCGGGUCCACAAUGAAAAGCGGUGUGGCAAGGCUUGCAUCUACUUCUAGUGGUUACCUAUACUUGAAUGGAGUGCCUUCUUGAGUAGGUGUUUUGGUACUAGCUUGCCUUGUGAAGUAAUAGCUGUUGUCAAUGCUAUGCUUUAUCCCAGUUUUUAUGGUACAUUGUAUUUAUGAAUGUAAGAAUGUAAUGGCAACUUCUUUACAUUUUGCAGGGAAGAAAUGCAAGCGGAGGAGGAACCAUGAAGCCGGCGGUUCAGGAUAUUUUGUGUAGUGGUGAUUGAAUCAUUGGUGAUGAAUUUUAUCUAUCAUUUUGUAAACCCACAUUAUGUUUGAGGCAAUGAACCUUAAUGUUUCCUCUAGUUAAUUAGCUAUAUUAGCUUAUGGGAAAUUUUGGAAGUCAUUAUGUUGAUAACAGAUGAAGUAUUUACAUGUGAAAUUAAUUAAUAUGUGUUUCUAUUGUCUGGUUAUGGUUUAUUAUUGCUGGAGGACAUGCACAUUAUUGUUAUGAAAUGUCUUGAUUGAUAUUUUCUUGGUAGUGCAAAUGUAAGCUAUGGUAGGGCUACUGGAUGUUGGUUGGAAAAAAACCAUGUCUGAAAGUCGUUUGGGGAAGCUAAUGCCAGGGCCAACGAAAAGUUGGACAGGAAAACAAACCCCAUCAGAUAGUCGGUCGGGAAAAGCACAUGGCAUGCCCUAUAGACUGUUGGUCGGGAAUACAACCCCAUCAGAUAGUCGGUCGGAAAGGCCCAUGGUAGGCCCAACAGACCGUCGGUCGGGAAAGGCCCAUGGUAGGCCCAACAGACUGUCGGUCGGGAAAGUUACGCCAUAGGUGACAAACAGUCGGUCGGGAAAGAUAUGUCGGUCGGGAAAGGCUUUUCCCGUCUAGACUUUCCCCAACAGACACAGUCGGUCGGCAAUAGUCUUUCCCGACCGACUAUCUAUUGGUGGAAGCUGUUUUCCCGUCCGACCUAGCUGUCAGGGAUGUAGUGUUGUGGUGUAGUGACAGCGCUACACCAAGUGCUACCUUAGCCAGAUAGCAACCUGGACUAGCUUGGAGGUGAGGACGUACUCGGUAAUCAUGUAGUAGGACAUGAAGGUCGCAGCCACAUUAUUAUCAAGCAGACGGAAAAAGAUCCGUACUCGUCCAAGAAAUAGGAUAGCGGGAAAAACUGAGACUGCUGACAUUGCCCUUUCUUGAUAACUAAGAUCAUUAAGGGUUGCCAACACGACGAAAUAAAAGAACGAUCCGGGAUAGACGCAUGUCCAUCACCGAAACGACAAACGAGACUGAAAGAAAGACAUCGGUGUGAUACCUGAGCACCAUUUUUGCAAACAGUGUCGGGAUCACUUGGCAUCACUCUGCUGGGACAGAAUUGACACCAAACACCGAAAGAAAAGGAACUGGAGAAAUGCAAAGGUUGAGCUGUAGUGGAUCCGAACCGAUGUCAGCUACACUCACUAGAUAAAUCGUUAGUAACAAAUAAUAAUCUAUAUGCAUGCUAUGCGACAAACAAAUGCAGCAAUCAAGUGCAACAAACCAAUUGGGGUCUAUACUACCGCUUUCUAACGUUCGCGCGGUCUAGGGCGUUCUGCAGCCAGACCAGCUCUGAUACCAAGCACUAUGGCACCCCGGCUUAGAGAUACCGGAACGCCCCGUAUUCUAGCCCAAAGAUCGAGGAGAAGUCUUCUGGAAUACGACACUACUUAGCAUAGAACAAACCAGCUUUCUAUUAUUACACGGAUAUGAAUACGAGGUCUCCGAUAUUACAAUGAAUAACGUCGAUACGGCGACACUACGCCAUCCUCAGUUGCUCUAUGCAAGUAGCAGAACAACUCGAAGCAACGGAAGAACUCUAGCAGCUAGCGGAACAACGACGACGGUGGUGAACUCCACGCCAUAGCGACUCUGGCUGGAAUGAUUAUCCUAGCUCGCACGCACGGAAACCACGACAGAAAGCAAUCAAAUUCGGCAUGACCUGCAAGCUGGCAUGACACGCGAGGUCAGUACAUUGAAUGUACUUGCAAGCUCACAAUAAUCUAGAAGCAUUCAAGACAGACAACAACAUGGCAAUUACAGGUUAAAUAGGAAUUAUCAUGAGAUCAUCAGAAUAGCAUGUCAUCAUCAACAUAAACAUGAUACAGCUAUCACAACAUGAACAUAUUAAUCUGACAAUACUAACAUGCAACAUGAUGACACUAUAUGCACCAAUUAUUCUGUUCGGCUACCUCGUAACCAACUCAUGCAUCACUUACCAACCUCGGACAUCACACGAUCAAGUCAAGAUCAAAUCAAGCUUGGUAUAAACAAUACUGUAGUAAUCAGUAAAUGACCACAAGGAGCUUGACCUUUACCCACGAUUCUCGUACAACAUCACGAAUAUACAACAACUCGGUAUCCUCGAUACCAUUUUUAUCCUUACGGCGAUCACAACCCGACCAACACUUGGUCCCAUACCAUGGUCCUUCAGGCGAUCACAACCCGACCUCUAAAUGGCCCGUGAUCCUUACGAUGAUCACAACCAACUUAUCUCACUAUUAUUAAGCACAUUAUUCUUAUUACUGUUGACUCAUGGUGUGACCUAUUUUCAACCUGGGCCCUUAUCCGCGGGCACGGCUAUCGAUAGAUUUAAUAUACACUCUGCAGAGGUUAGUACACUAUACCCACACUACGGAACCCAUGGCCUCGCAAUCCCAUUCGGGUGGACCAACGGCAUUCCCACAAAACCGUCCCCAUCGGGCUAGUCCUGGGUAGCCCCGUGUCUACCUCCAGACACAAUGACCACCGUCGUGGCCCAUCCCACUCUAGGACAAGGAUCCAAAAACUAACUCAACAACGGGCACACAAGGCUUAUGUCCGCCUACCUUAUCGGGGUAGUGUGCACCCAUAACGUUCCCUCGUUGGAGGCACCGGAGAGAGGCACAACAAUAGACCCAGUUAGAACCGUCCCAUACCGGUAAGCGUGGUUGCACUGGUCAGCAUCGAUUCAGCGGCACCAUGACUCAGCCAACAGUUGUUCAAGUUCAAUUUAAUCCGGUUAACUUGAAUGAAAAUAUGCUGAGUCAUGAUAAAAUGCAUGAACAUGAUAUCAACAUCAUCAUGAGUGUAUCACAUAACUUUCCACCAUAUCAACAAUAAAUCAUAUCCACUGAGCAUGGCAUACUGACUAGCAUGACCAUCACCAACAUCAACAUGUACUACUAGCAAUCAUAAACAUAUGAAAGGUAAUACUAGCAGGUAGAAUAUGUUAAUAGAGUACAAGACGGCAUAGCACAAAGGUGAACAUGCAACUCUAAACAUCACUGAAACAACGAUAACCAUCUAGUCAACAAGCAAAUAUUUAACAAAGAUUCAAGUUGAAAACCAUGUCUACUGCAUGACUAUCAUGCAAGUGGAUAUUGUGGCUUGCCUGGGGAUGAAGAAGGCACCGGGGAGAAGUGCGGUGAAGCCGCGGAACAAAUUGCCAGAAAACAUUCUCUCUCGGAGGGGGCUGAUUAAGGACAGGGGGAAAAUGGUCAUUUUUAGUAUGCCAAAACAUAAUGAAAGUGACACCAAUAGAAAGGGCUCGACGAAAUGAAGAAGUGAGCGUUGGAUUCACCUCGUUUGGAGUUACGGAUAAAAAGAUAUAAGGGUUUUACCAUCAGGGACCUAUCUGUAAACAUUUAUUUUACAGACUCGGCCAAAACAGAAAAACGGAAAGCGCAUUCCAGGAUUUACGCUUCCACUUAUCCGCGUCGCAGUGGCGGGGCCGGCUCCUGUGUGGCUGACAGGUGGGUCCCACCUUAUCCACUCCCUCUCUCUCCUCCCUUCUCUUCUUCCUCUCUCCUUCUCCCGACGCCGCAUGCUCCGGCCACUCGGGCCACCUUCGGCGGAGCUUGGAUCGCCGGAGUGCUCAGGACGGUGAGGCGCACCCGUCCCACCACCACACGAACAUCAAGGAGACUCGGGCAGGGCGGGACCGUGGCCACGGCGGACGGGGCUUCAGCCGACGAUAGAGGACGAGGCCAUGGCGAUUCCGGUGACUAACAGAAGGCUGCGGGAGAGGCUAUGGUGGCUGGGUGACCUACUAGAUGUGGAAGACAGAGGAGAGGGGCUUCGGUUCACCGGAAUCAGAGUGGACAGGGGCGGCGGCCAUGGCGGCAAGGGCGGGCUCGGGAGCUCUUGGAGCUCGAACGAGUGGACGGGGAGGUUGCUGGGAGUGAGGCGAGUCUCGGGGUGAGCUCGGACGAGGCCGGGGAUGGCUUAAAUAGCCGUGGGGCAAGGUGGCCGAGCUGGCACCGCCGCGGAUGCGUGGCUGGCGCCACGGACGUAUGCCCGCACGCAUGAACUCGGGGGCAAACGAUGGAGGAGGAGAAGUGGUGGCUCUCACGGGGCAGAGGAGGCCAAGGGGGCGCAGGGAGGAAGACAAUGGUGACGGGAAGAUCCAAAACCCCACUGUGCUCUCGUGUUCACACGGCGGCGAGCAUCGGUGAGCAAGCGGACGGAGGGGGAGUGGGGUCCAGGGGAACGGCGACGAGGAGAGGAAGACAAUGGACAAGCUCACGAGCGCGAAAACAGUGAGAGGGGGAGGGGCCCAAGCAAGAAGACGCUAAGGGCGCGGCCAUUGCACGCCAAAACGGUGGUCACCGCGUGCACUGGUGCACACCGUGCCACAAGUGAUGCCAAACCAUGUCUGGGGGUUAGUCCCUCAUGGGUAAGUUGUAACUACGGUGGUAACUAAGUGAAAACGUCUCUGGUUAAAUAGUUAGUGAGCUCUGAAGUUUACUGCAGUAAAAUUUACCAGCUCAAUGUGAUCAAUAGGGAGUUACUUGAAGCCAAAGAAGUUGUCUGGGGUGUAUAGCUAUGGAGGUACUAUGAUACUGGUGAUUUUGAGGGGAAAUGGAACAAGAUAAAUGAUAGUUGCUUUGCAACUGCCAAAAUGGUCCAGAAAUGAAGAUUAGGAUGGUGCACUCACAUGGAGUGUCCACAUGAGCUCACAUUGGGCAAGGCUUAGUCAUUUGGUCAUAUGAAGAUGCUCACAAAGUAUCAUACCAUUUGGCAAAGCCAAAAUGGUACUUGGUUCACAAACAUCUCUGCUGACCAGAAACUUGAAAUAAUUAUAGUGAUCAAAUGGAUCAAUGAAAUGAUGCCAAAUUGGGUGGAUAGAUGUUUUAUGGGUAUAAGAAUGAUCUGGUAAUUUAUCAGGAUUUUUGAAGCAAUAUAAAAUACACUUGCUUCACAACCUGAAAAUAUUGCCAGAAACAAAGAUUUGCUCCUGUUCUCACAUAGAUAAUUGUAUGGGGCUGCAAAUGGGUGGAAGGGUCUAAUAUGAGCACUCUAAAGAGUCUGCAAAAUUUUAACUCAUUUGGGGACUCCUUGCUAGUACUUCCUUCACAAAGCCUUCUGUUUGACAGAAACUUUGAAAAAUCACUGAGGAAGAUUGUCUAGGCAAAUAAAUUUGAACUUGUGCAUGGGGAAAUUAUUUGUACAUAUAAACAUGCCCAAAAAGGUUGGGAUUCAAUAGGAGAAAUAUAAAUCUCACUUCCUUCACAAACUGCCAUCCAGGACAUAAUAGAAAAAGGAAUAUUGGGGAAAUAUUUUUGAACAUGGCAAUGAAAAGUUUUGCCAUAUUUGAGCAAGAAAUGACCCAAACAAUUUAUGAGAAUUAUUUGGGAGUUUUUGGAGUGAUGGAAAUAUAGGUUGCUUCACAACCUAGGGCAAUUUGAGUUAUUCCUUUAAUUGAAAAGGAAUAUUCCCAAUAAAAAGAAUAUUAGGAUUUGGGCUAGGAUGGAAAUGACAGGUUCUAGGGAAAUAUUUGGGAAUGACAAGCCACUCUGCAAGCAAAGAAGAGGUCAUGUUCUUCAGUUUCCAGACCACAAAGCCACGGAAAAAGAAAACUCACGCAAAAACCUCGAAAAAACAAAAGAAAUUUGGAGUUACUAAAAUUUUAUUUGGAGUUACUAAAAUUUUAGAAAUUUUCAGAAAAAGAUGAAGAGAUUGUUCUUGAGGGGCUCUUCUAGCCAAGGCUCUAAGGAUAAACAAGCUAAGGAGAAAGAAAAGGCCAAGUAUAAUCUUCCUCGUGUGGCAGAAGUACGGCCGUGUGAAUGGCCUUGUGAUGAUUUCUUGAGAGCAGUGGGGAUUUAUGAUGACUUUUAUUCCUUGGCUGAUAAUGCUAGCCUCACCGACUUCCUCCAUGACCAAAUCGAACAGUAACUCUUACUCACUAAUACUUUCGUGCAAAACUUCUACUAUUAUCCUAAGAAAUCACCUCCUUCGGUAGAGUUUCAUUUAUAUGGUGUGGCUAGGGAGAUGACACUAUAUGAAUUUUGCACGGUUUGCAAGAUACCCCUCGGGGGCAGCUUAGAGGAACCACAUCGUAAAGAUGUGGAUGGAUUUAUCGAUACUAUUAUCUUAGUGGAAACGAGGAAGGUUUCCGAUGCCAGAAUUACUAGCAUACAUUGCAAUAUUUGCUAGUCGAUGCUUAAUUGGUCGCGGAAACUGUGGAAACCUUAGUGUUCCUGAUCUUAGUGUUCUCAAGAGUGCUGUAUUAGGUGAUAAACAAUACAACUUGGGGGCAAUUGUUGCACGUAGGUUGGUUUAGUUGGACACUUGUUUGGAGGGAUUUAUGCAACCCGUGUGGCUAAUUAUCUUGGUAUACCUGCACAUGAAAAUGAUAGGGAGUUGGCUCCCUCUUAUUUAGAUUAUAAUGCCAUGGUUAAUCGUCAUUUUCUUGAGAGGAAUGAACAAUUCCUCCAGUAUCGACUAAUCUUUGACAGAUGUCGCGCUGUCCAUAUUAGUCUCCCUGCUCUUGCCCUUUUUGAUUAUCAGGCAAAAGGAAGAUAUGUUAUCACCAAGGAGGAGGCAAACGAGUACGAGAGGAGGACAGAGGUAGCUCGCCGCCAUGCUGCAGCUCAGGAGGCAAUCGCUGCUGCAUCUCAGUACGACCCUAGUUACAACUUCGGAUAUCAGCCAGGCUACCCAUGGCCAUAGACCAACUUAGGCCAAAAGCCUAAGCUUGGGGAGUACGUAUGUCGGUGCUCAUACUUUUUCAUGAUACUAUCCUUGCUAGUUUAAUUUCUCUUCUAGCUUUCUUCUUGUGUGUUUGAUAAACUUUAAGAAAAACCAAAAAAAUAGCUAGUUUAAUUUCCAUGCUAGUAGUAGUAAUUAAAAGAAAACCGAAAAAUAUUUCUCGUUCUUCUUUUGCUUGUUGGGAGCUUUCCCGUGUAAAUAGUUUUAUUUCUUUUUCUUUCCUUUUGGGGUCGAGAGGAGAAGACCAUGAUGAAAAUGCUUAGUGGCUCUAAUAUGCAUGAUUGUUGAUUUAACCAAGAGCCCAUAUUACCUUGUCUUCUCCCUUGAAUUGAAUGCUUGCAGAUUCCAGCUUAGUCCACUACACGUGCACUAUUAUUAUUAUUAUUCACAUCGUUCGGUCGUGCAAGUGAAAGGCAAUAAUGACGAUAUAUGAUGGAUUGAUUGAGAUGAGAGAAGCUGGUAUGACCUCGGCCUAUCUUGUUUUUGUAAAUACGAUUAGUUCAUCAUUCCUGAUUCAGCCUAUUAUGAAUAAACAUGUUUGCAAUGACAAUUAGAGAUUAUAGUUUCUUAUGUCAUGCUUAAUUAGCUAGGAGUUUAUAAUGGUUUAUCUUGCGUGCCAACAUGCUAUUAAAAUGGUUGUGAUGUGGUAUGAUAGGGUGGUAUCCUCCUUUGAAUGAUUCGAGUGACUUGACUUGGCACAUGUUCACGCAUGUGGUUGAAACAGAAUCAACAUAUCCUUCAUGAUAUUUGUGUUCAUGGUGGAUUAUAUCCUACUCAUGCUUGCACUCGGUGUUGAUUAAUUUUAAUGCAUGUUCAUGACUGUUGUCGCUCUCUCAGUUGUUCGCUUCCCAGUCUCUUGCUAGCCUUCACCUGUACUAAGCGGGAAUACUGUUUGUGCAUCCAAACUCCAUAAACCCCAAAGUUAUUCCAUAUGAGUCCACCAUACCUUCCUAUAUGCGGUAUCUACCUGCCGUUCCAAGUAAAUUUGUAUGUGCCAAACUCCAAACCUUCAAAUGAAAUUAUGUUUUGUAUGCUCGAAUAGCUCAUGUAUCAACUAGGGUUGUAUGUAUCUUCCAUGUUAGGCGGCUUAUUCUCAAGAGGAGUGGAAUCCUCUCCUCAUUCACGAGAAAAUGGCUGGUCACCGGGAUACCUAGUCCCAUGCUCAAAUCAAAUCAAAAUAAUUAAACAAAACUCCCCCACGAUUGUUGCUAGUUGGAGGCACACGUUCUUUCGGGCAAGCCAUGGAUUGAUGCUUGUUGGUGGUGGGGGAGUAUAAAAUUUACCAUUCUGUUUGGGAACCGCCUAUAAUGUGUGUAGCACGGAAGAUAUCGAGAUCUCAUAGUUGUUACAUUGACAGUGAAAGUAUACCGCUCAAAAUGCUAUUCAUCUCUAUUUCAAAAUCGAGCUCUGGCACCUCUACAAAUCCCUGCUUCCCUCUACGAAGGGCCUAUCUAUUUACUUUUAUGUUGAGUCAUCACCCUCUUAUUAAAAAGCACCUGCUGGAGAGCACCGCUGUCAUUUGCAUGCAUUACUAUUUGUUUAUAUUGGGUAUGACUAUGACUGGGUCUCUUUUACCAUGAAUUGGAAUGUUUAGUCAGUCCUUAAUCUUUAAAGGUGAUCUGCAUUUAUGUUUUGCGGUCUCAGAAAGGGCUAGCGAGAUACCAUCUUGUUAUAUCAUAUUAUGAUUGUUUUGAGAAAGUGUUGUCAUCCGAGAUUUAUUAUUAUUGCUCGCUAGUUGAUUAUGCCAUUGAUAUGAGUAAACAUGAGACCUAAGUGUUAUAGUGAAUAUGGUUAGCUCAUAAUCUUUGCUGAAAACUUGAAUGCAGACUUUACAUAUUUACAACAACAAGAGCAAACAGAGUUUGUAAAAGUUUUUCUUUAUCACUUUCAAUUUAUCAACUGAAUUUCUUGAGGACAAGCAAAGGUUUAAGCUUGGGGGAGUUGAUAUGUCUCCAUCGUAUCUACUUUUCCAAACACUUUUGCCCUUGUUUUGGACUCUGACUUGCAUGAUUUGAAUGGAACUAACCCGGACUGACGCUGUUUUCAGCAGAACUGCCAUGGUGUUAUUUUUGUGCAGAAAUAAAAGUUCUCGGAAUGACAUGAAAAUCCACGGAGCAACUUUUCAGAAUUAAUAAAAAAUACUGGCGAAAGAAACAGCAUCAGGAGGCCCACACGCUGUCCAUGAGGGUGGGGACGCGCCCCCUCCCCUAGGGUGCGGCCCCUGCCUCAUGGGCCCCCUAGACGUCCACCGACCUCGACUCCAACUCCAUAUAUUUGCUUUCGCGGAGAAAAAAAUCAGAGAGAAAGUUCCAUCGCGUUUUACGAUAUGGAGCCGCCGCCAAGCCCUCAUCUCUCUCGGGAGGGCUGAUCUGGAGUCCGUUCAGGGCUCCGAAGAGGGGGAUUCAUCGCCGUCGUCAUCAUCAACCAUCCUCCAUUACCAAUUUCAUGAUGCUCACCGUCGUGCAUGAGUAAUUCCAUCGUAGGCUUGUUGGACGGUGAUGGGUUGGAUGAGAUUUACCAUGUAAUCAAGUUAGUUUUGUUUGGGUUUGAUCCCUAGUAUCCAUUAUGUUCUGAGAUUGAUGUUGCUAUGACUGUGCUAUGCUUAAUGCUUGUCACUAGGUCCCGAGUGCCAUGGUUUCAGAUCUGAACCUAUUAUGUUUUCAUGAAUAGAUGUGAGUUCUUGAUCCUAUCUUGCAAUUCUAUUGUCACCUAUUAUGUGUUAUGAUCCGACAACCCCGAAGUGACAAUAAUCGGGAUACUUCUUGGUGAUGACCAUAGUUUGAGGAGUUCAUGUAUUCACUAUGUGUUAAUGCUUUGGUCCAGUACUGUAUUAAAAGGAGGCCUUAAUAUCCCUUAGUUUCCAUUAGGACCCCGCUACCACGGGAGGGUAGGACAAAAGAUGCCAGUUCUUUUCCAUAAGCACGUUUGACUAUAUUCGGAAUACAUGCCUACAUUACAUUGAUGAACUGGAGCUAGUUCUGUGUCACCCUAUGUUAUAACUAUUACAUGAGGAAUCGCAUCCGACAUAAUUAUCCAUCACUGAUUCAAUGCCUACGAGCUUUUCACACAUUGUGCUUUCUUACUUACUUUACCGUUGCCACUAUUACAAUUACUACAAAACUGCUACCGUUACUUUUGCUACCGUUACCGUUACUUCCAUACUACUUUACUACUAAAUACUUUGCUCCAGAUACUAAGUUAUCCAGGUGUGGUUGAAUUGAAAACUCAACUGCUAAUACUUCAGAAUAUUCUUUGGCUCCCCUUGUGUCGAAUCAAUAAAUUUGGGUCCAAAUACUCUACCCACGAAAACUGUUGUGAUCCCCUAUACUUCUGGGUUAUCAAGGUCCCAUAGGACCAGCGCACCAGAACAGCAACCGCCGCCGAUGAAGAGUAGCGUAAAUCGAAAGGAUCCAACCUGAAAACACACGAACGUAGACGAAUGACGAACAUAUCCAAGCAAAUCCACCAAGGACAGAUUUACCGGAGACACACAUCCACACGCCCACCGACAAUGCUAAAUGCACCAGCAGAACUAGGGCUAGGCGAGGAGAACCUUAUUCCAUCUUCAGGGAGCAACCACUGUCUCGUCUUCCUGAGUUGGACACAAACCCUAGCACAUCUCGAAGACACAUCUAAAAACCGAGCCUUCCCACAGGCAAAGGCCAGGAUCCGCCGCGCUCCCAUGACCCUAAGGCAACUGGAGAUGAGGCGGACCGGCGACGGCACCGGUAGGAGGCACAAGAAUCCUAGUUGGGGAGGAGGCCGCGGCCUGAGGAGUCAUGUAAUGUCCUUUAUAGGUUCACCGGUUGGCCCCUUCUAUUCUGCCGCUGCAGAUCUGACACGUCAGAACGAAUUGUUGCAAUCACCAGGCAGCAGCGAAUGCUAGCGAUUUCGGGAGCAGCUGAGCUCGAGCACAGAAUUGCAGCGUCCGGCGAGCGUAGUAGCCAGAGGAGAAACCGAGCGUGUGUAAAGCGCUAAACUACACUGCCCUAACAGAGCGUGCGUGUGAGCGCUCAUGCGCCAACCAACGCCAUAAGCAUGGUAGAGGAGCGCUCCUGCAAUUUGUUGCCUCAAAUUGGUGGGAAAACACAUAAGGACAGGCACUAGUCGGCCCAUUCAUUUCAUACUGUACAAACCCGGUAGCCAAGAUUUUUUCGGUGUUGUACACUUUUAAGCGCUUCUUUCAAUUAGGCGUUUUCUUUCUCGUAUUUUGAAAAACAUUAGAAAAACUUAUUUAUUGAAAAACUAAGUAUUGAGUUUUUACAAUAAUUUUACAAAAUGUGUACAUUUUUAAAACAUGAAUGUUUUUCAUAAUGCAGACCAUUUUUUCAAGUUUUGAACGUUUUUUCAAAAACACGAAUAUUUUUUGAAAACACUAAAAAAUUGUGAAAACAUUCAAAUGAAAUUAUCCAUUUUGAAUACUAUUCAUAUAUUUAAUAAACAUGAACAUUUUUGAACAUUUUGUGAAAAAACUGAAAAAGAACGAAGAAAACAAAAAAUAAAACCAGCAAAAGAAGAAAACCUCAAAAACCGGAAUCCUUAUUGCGUCAUAAUAAUGCAUGACUAUUUUUUAUGAAUAUGUCUUCGAAUCAAAAAUGUCUGUUAUAUAUGCAUUUGCCUAUACCUCACUUGUAGUGAGACAAAAGAACACAAAUCCUCAGGCCCCCUGUAUUGUGGCCUAGGGAUCCAUCAUUAUCCAGGAAGCCGGCUUGGUAGGCCGGCCUAGGGCCUUAUAGGCUGGUUUGUCUAGGGCCAUCAAUUUGGCCCAUGGAUCCAAUUAGAGAAAGGCCCGAGGGACUUGGAGCGGGUGACAGGGCGACUAGCGUCCAGGAGAACUCCUCCAACGACCAACUACGAUCGUGUAAUCCUAGACCCCAACACCCAUAUAUGUCGUGGCCAGAUUAGUCAAUAGACACAGAACCUUAGAACUAUUGCUCAAUCCAUCGAUUAUUGUAACCCCUAUACACAAGCAAUAUACACGAGCAGGGGUUAGGAUUUUACCUCAUCCAUGAGGGUCUGAACCUGGAUAAACCCCUUCUUAUUUCCCAUUUUGCUUAAUCGCAUGGCCAGAGUACCUUAUCAAGUGAUCUGCCGGAAAUAACUCCACCACGUCAUAAAUGGGCUAGGGCCAGAUAAUUUUUUUCUCCUUUUCUCUUAUUUUGUUUCUACUUUUGGUUCAAUUUAAAACAUCUUGUAAAUAUAUAUAUUUGGAAAGAUUCUUAAUCAAUUAUUAAUAACAUUCACUGUGCCUGAAAUAAUGGUCAUGAAAUGUAAUUAUUUUUUUGCACAAUUUGAUAAAUUGUUCAUAUCCUUCAAAAGAAUAUUCGUAUCAUUUUUAAAUGUUCGGAUGUUUAAAAAAUGAAUGAUUUUUUAACAAUGUUUAUUAAUAUAUAUAUAUAAAUUAACAGUGUAAUUUGUAAAAAAUAUUCAUACCAUUCAAAAAAUGUUUAACACUUUAAAAAUGUUCAAACAUUUUAAUUUUAAAUAUUUUUUAGUAAAUACUAUUGAAAUAGAAAAAAAUUAAAAGUUUAUAACAUAUAAAAAUGUUUGUAAAAUUUUCAAAUAUGUUCAUAAACACUUACAAAAUGUUUGGCACUUUUACGGAUAUGUUGAUGUCUUAAUUUUUUGAAAACUAUCAAUGAAAUUUACAAAAAUGUUCCUAACAGAAAUGCUAUUACAAAAAUUUAUGAAUAGAAAAUGUGUGUAAAAUUUACAGAAAUGUUCACAAUUUUUUGAAGGAGCUCGGGAUCCAAACAUCCACUCUCUACCAACUAUAUGCAUGUAUGUUGUAGCAAGCCAUGAGCCAAGGGUUGCUACAUGAUCAAUUGCUGAUAGUGCAGUGUGUUUUCUUCAUUUUGGGCAGAUCACAAGUGUUUGACAUCUCUCUCUGCAUUGGGUAUCCUUUUCCACUUGAAUUUUAAGAUACGCGGAAUGUGCUUUCCUUGUUGUUGCCUCGUCAUUCCAGCAUGGAAUCAAAGCAAAACUGAUAUUACUUCCCUUAAAAAUUGUCUCGCUAUCUAUCUCCAUAACAUGCCCAUUGGACUGCAUGGCGGAAGUGAAGGUGUGCGCCUAGCCGGCGGAGAAGACGAACUCAUCUGUGACCUCUGAUGAGCCCAUGGUGCAUGUGGGUUGGAACACUGCUUAGGAAAUCUAGACUUAUUUUGCAGGCAAGCCAAGAUGAGAUCUGUAGGCCCAUGUGAAUUCCAUCAAAAUCACGGUCAGUUCAACUCUGGUUCGAAUCCUAAUAAAAAUAGAUCAACGGUCCUAGAUGGUUAUGUCCAUUGCUAAAAAAUGCAAUUGUUGAAAGAGUCGAUAUGACUAGUAGCUAGAGGACGCUGACACCCCUCACUUCUUCUACACGUACUAAACAAACCCUAGCUUAUCCAACUCAAUUUGCUUUAAGGUUUGUGUGUGAAAGAAGUAGUCUUAAAACCAAACACCACACUCUUCAACUUGAGAAAUCAAUAGUCCAUUUACCUAUGGAUAUCAACUCUAUAUACAUCAUACUUGAUGUGUCAAGUUGAUAAUACUUACUAAACAUAUUUUAAAUUACAAUAUCUGGUGCUUCACAGUCGGUUAUGAAAUUAAUGUUCACCCAUCCAAUGCAAUAAAAAGUAUGUGAAUGAUGUUAACACACGCGCGCGCGUGUGUGUGUGAGAGAGAGAGAGAGAUUAGAGUACAUUUUGUCCUGAGAGAGAUUAGAGUACAUUUUGUCCUGAUGUCCACCAUAGUUCCACGAUCAAUACAUCUAGGAGGAGACAAUCAAAAUACCGACAGAAAAUAAAUAUUUAAUAUGUAAAUGGUAGGUGACAAAUCCAACCACAAAAUUGUGCAAACAACCCACUAGCUAGUUUUAUUGAAUAUUAAAAUGACAUAGUUGAUUUCUAAAACAUACAAAAUUUAUUAUCUCAUCAACACAUAAUUAUUUUGAGAACAAUAAGGUUGAGAUUUAUCCACCCAAAAUAGGGGAGAUAACAAAACUAUUGUGUUGUUGUUGCUGGUGUGCAAUUAAUCUUGCAGGGACAGUUGAUGAAGCAUUCUCCAAGAUCUGGCCAGCACAAGUUAUCUAUUUGACAGCAGAAUUCCCGUCCUGGGAGCUGGUGCCCAUCUUUAUAACAAGGGGGUCUGGUUACAUGGCUUACUUUGCUCAUCAUGUUUCCCCCCUUGUUGUUUAUGAUUUCACCUAAUUAACAUAAAAUAAAGAAUAUACUUGUCAUCUCAUCAUAUAAACAAUAAAAGUCCACAAUAUCAAUCCCCCCAAAAAAUUGAGUUGUUAAUUACCAUAUGUGCCUCCAAGACAAGUCAAACACACCACAAGAAGAAAAGAAAGUAGCACAAGUCCUUCCACAUUGUUCCUCAUGAACUUGGUCAUCGUCACUAAGGAAUAGAGGCUAUUAAUGGGUGGUACUCUUGUAAGCGGAGUUGAUGACUGUAUGACCGUGAAAUGCUUGCUCCAUGAAUGGUUCAUAUNNNNNNNNNNNNNNNNNNNNNNNNNNNNNNNNNNNNNNNNNNNNNNNNNNNNNNNNNNNNNNNNNNNNNNNNNNNNNNNNNNNNNNNNNNNNNNNNNNNNNNNNNNNNNNNNNNNNNNNNNNNNNNNNNNNNNNNNNNNNNNNNNNNNNNNNNNNNNNNNNNNNNNNNNNNNNNNNNNNNNNNNNNNNNNNNNNNNNNNNNNNNNNNNNNNNNNNNNNNNNNNNNNNNNNNNNNNNNNNNNNNNNNNNNNNNNNNNNNNNNNNNNNNNNNNNNNNNNNNNNNNNNNNNNNNNNNNNNNNNNNNNNNNNNNNNNNNNNNNNNNNNNNNNNNNNNNNNNNNNNNNNNNNNNNNNNNNNNNNNNNNNNNNNNNNNNNNNNNNNGAAGUUAUAGAAAAUAUUAAUGCUUGGAGUUAUGACUUGUCUGAAUUUCCAAUUUUAGUUUCACUUCUAAAGAUUCAUGGUUCCUUCUAAAGUUUUUUUUCUCAAAUUUAUGCUUUGUUAUAGCAUGUAAGUUAAUUUAAUGCCCCCUCUAGAAUUGACCACUUUUUGUUUCCAAGGGGUAGAAUUGACCUCUUAGAAUGGGUAGCAAAAAACGGGUGCAUGGUAAUAUUAUGUUUAAGGCAUUGAUAAUAAUUGGUAUAAUAUUAAUAAUUCCUAUAUAUAUGAUGCCUUAUCAAUAAAAUAUUAAUUUCUCUCUUGGUAUAAGAGAAAAAAAUUUAAAAUUCAACAAGACUCGUCACUUAACAUUGGACUUGUUUUUUAAUGUAUAUAAGAAAUUGUUCUUAACUAUAUCAACAAGUUACAGAUACAUUUUUUUUACUUUUAUUCCAUGAACAUAGAUUAAUUAUGGGAUGGCCAUUUUAUAAAUAUAAGAUGAUGAUUUAUUUUCAUAUACAUGAAAAUUUUAUAUCAAGGUACUUGAGCAUUUUUUACAUUUUUCUAUACACAAAAUCUUCUCCAAUAUUAAUUCGAUUUUGAUUUCUUUAAAUAGAUUAGUUUCCCCCAAACGUUCUUUAUUAGAAUAGUGAAAAUGUCGCACUUCACUACUGGAAUCUAGCACUUUGCCAUCUGCCAUGGCAAAUGGCAAAGGCAUGGUCGGUGGAUGGCAAAGGCUUUGCCAUCUGCCAGCAGAUGGCAAACAGUUUGUCUGAAACCCUGCCGGUAAAGGCUUCUUUGCCGUCUACUGGCUGAUGGCAAAGAGUCUGUGCCUUUGCCAUCAUCUGGCAGAUGGCAAAGCCUCUUAACGGGGUUAGCCCCGUUAGAAGGCUAACGACAUACUUUGUUGUCUGCCAGCAGAUGGCAAAGGUUGCAGGCUCUUUGCCGUCUGCCAGCAGAUGGCAAAGAGCUUUGCCAUCUGCUGGCAGAUGGCAAAGAGCCCAAAUUGGCCAGCCCAAAUUUUACAUGUAGAUGACACGUGGCCUCUUUGCCAUCUGACAGCUGAUGGCAAAGCUCUUUGCCAUCUGCCAGCAGAUGGCAAAGUGACUAUAUUGCCCCAUUUUAUUUUGUUUUUUCUUAUAUCAGUUCAUUUUCAUAGAAAAUCAAACACAAAUGUAUUUAUAUGACCAAUAUAGCAUAUUUAACACAUAUUACCAAUAGUCAUGAACACAUAUAUAUCCAACACAUGUUACCAAUAGUAGCAAGUUUCAUCCGUACAUAUACAUAGUUUCAUCAAUAUUACACAGUUUCAUCCACAGGUAGCAAGUUUCACAAGGUCAAAACAAACACUAAAUACAAGCACUCCAUCAACCCAAGCUUCCGUGAACUUAAGCAAAUCUGUAAAAUGGGAAAGAAGAAAGUUAGAAGAAGAAGACUAGAAGAAGAAGAUUAUUAUGAUGCGGAAAUAUGCAUGGAUUGUCAAAACUUGCAUUAUCCUACUAUCACUAGUACAACAAAGCUGCAGGUUUGCAUUAUCCUACUAUCAGAAAUCUGGAACUAAACUAACCUAAUUAAUCAUAACAAGGUGGCAUGCAUAGAAAUUUGGAACUAACUAAGAACUUCGAAUUAAAAGAGGAGAAGCAAAGGUUCAGGAAUUAGUUGCUCCCCUGCCGAUGCAUUGGUUGUCGAGGUUGAGGAGGUUGUGUGCAUGGCCACACCAUCGACCUGAGCUACAACCCAGCAUCCACCGCAGACCCGUCUUUGCGCUCGAAAGAGAUGACCACUUCAGACCCCUCCUAGCUCCCCUCCGAUGGUGGUCUCCUCCUUGUUCAUCCGCCUUGCUAUGGCUUCAGGGUGGUAGGCCAGGCCGUCCCUUGUCACUGGGCGUCGUCCUCCAUGGCCAGAUCUAGCCACUCCAUGGCGUCCGGGCAGGGGAGGAAGUGGCCAUCCUGUCCAUGGCGUCCCGGUGCUCGAGCGACGACGGAUCAGAGAGUUAGAGGGGACGUGGUAAAGAAGAUAAGGAAGGAGGGAUGUGGCAAGGGAAGAGAGGGGAUCUGACUCACCGGAGCAACGCUGGAGCCACACCAGCUACGCGGUAGCCCAAACCCUAGUGAAUCGGUGUUUUUCGAAUGUAACUCAUCCCUUGGCAGAAUAUUGCUGUCAUAUUCACAACGGAAGAGUUCAUGUCCAGCUGACAAUGCAGAUGAUGGAGAUGCUGAUAAGCAGAUCAAUAGUAUUUUGCAUUUUUUUACCUGGCUCGUAUCAAUUCAUGUUAAUUGCAUUCAGCUAGAAAGUAGAGUACAAUCCUGAUAAUUACAUUCAGCUACUGAAAUAAGGUAAGACAAUAUUCUGCCAAUCAUCACCCACUGGUAAACGAUGAUCUCAACAAGGUAAGACUGCAGACAAUGACCUCAAAGAGAUGUAUGUAACUAGCAACUGUGCACUCACCUGCCAUUCCAUGAAUAACCUGCAACUACUCUCACCCACAGAAUAGUUGAAAAUAUCUAAUGUUUACCAUUUAAACAAAAGACUUGGUUGGAGUGUCUUAAGAGAGCUCUUACGUAUAGGUAACAGUAUCUGUUGUGCAACUAGAUGAAUUUAACACGAAGAGUAAGUUAGAAUUUUCCAUAGAUACUAAAACAUGCUGAAAAUAGAAUGCUAGCAUUGCCAAGCUACUGAAUAGUCCAACUCUCCUAUGGCUGACAAAAACGGUAACAGACAUUUCAGAAACCAGAUGGAAUCCAACAAACAGAGGGAAAGCGGAGCAAGCUAUACUUGCGGCAUGGUAGAGAUGAAGAUCAGAGCAAGGGAAAAGAGCAGCUACUAGCAUCAGCCUGAAUUGUACGUGUACAACACAACAUCUUGUUACAAUACAGAGAUAGAUUAAGCGUAAUUUUCUUUCAACAACACACAAUCUGCGUGUCUUUAUAUUUUUUUGAAAGAUAGGGGAAAACAAAUGCAUACAGUAGAAAUUAAAAUCUCAUCUAAUAGCGUGUACUUCUGAACGAAAGAGAAGUUAGCUGGCCUCUUAAUGCUCUUCGUUGGCAGGAGGAUGACCACCUACGAUCAAGUGCGCUAUUGUGGCAUAUAUCUUCCUUCUUGCCAAAGAAGCAUGGUAGAAUUAUAAAGAGAGUAUGUUUCCAUAGACAUUUAAAAAAAGAGAUUUGUGUAUACUCAUUAUAGUGUAAGUACCAUAGAUUAUUCAGAUUAGAAGUUCUUGUCUCUACCAACAAUUUAUAUUUUCUAUACAUACUAAUAUCUAUAUCGCAUUGACAAUCAUGUAUUUAUAUGAGCUCUUUGUGGUGCGUGAUACAGCCAGAUUCCUUUUGUUAUUGCAGCAAUUUGUAAGUAUUUAAAUAUAUUUUAAUAGCUAGUUUCUUCUGUGUUAUAAAGACAAAAUAAGACAUGCAUAGACUUGCAAAUAUGUAUUAGAAAUCUGCUACUCCAAAGUAUCAUAUGAAUCAAUGUAAGUCACGAAUCGUGUGCAUAUCACGCAAAGCAGUUUUUUUGUAAGAACAAUACAUAAUACUAAUCGACGGUACAGAUGAUUCAACACAUAUGCAUCAAGACACCACUACCUUGCACAUGGUGAUAUAGGAUGGAGUUGAAUCUGAUCACCUCCUUUUUACAACUUAUAGUGUAAUGUGUACUGCUCAUAAAUAGGCAUAUAUAUAGUAAUUUUUCUUUUGAUCAAACGCUUGGUAUAUUAAUGAUCACAUUAUACAUUUAUGUAACAUUUCUUACUUGCGAAAUCUUUUACAAAUUGGAAUAUAGGAAUAUUAUUAAUACCCAGAAGAAAUACUACUAUUCGGAAAAUAUACUAACUGGUACUAUACUUAUUUUUUUCUAAUAUUGGUACUAUACUUAAUUGGACCAAAAGGUACACAUAUUUUGAUUAGUUCAAUUUUUUUUCUACAGAUUUAUCGGCGCCAUUAUUUCUCUAUGGUUGAAAUGUAUAUAAACUACUGUCUGUAUAUAUUGAUCUGCAUUUAGACAAAUAUCAUGGACAAACACACAUACUGUUUAGCACGUGUAGUUGUAAAGGUAGAACACUGAUUUCUAGUAUUAAGAAAAUAUAUUUAUAACAUCUCAUUACGAUGUAUAUGGAGUUAGCAUGAGAGAAAUAACCAAGUGUUGUGCAAGGAUCAUUCUGACUAUCCAGUGGCAGAAUAGAAAUAGGAUGCUAAGCCCAGGGAGAAUACUUAUGUCCUAUAAACCUGCAAAUACGAAGCAUGCAUUCACCAUAUAUUAGAAUUCCAAAUUUUAUAGUUUGUUUGCAUGUUGGUAAUAAGCUUUGCCCCUUGUGAUAUGGAUUAUCACAUAGAAUGGAAAGAGGAGAAAAAAUUAUGGCUUAGCAGAAUCAAGGAGGAAAAGCACUACAUGUGAAGUAUCAAAACGUUGUGAUAGCACGAACCCCACCAGAUUUGAACUCGUGCUCUUAGUAUGACAUGGAAAGAGGGGCUACUCUCCAAUUGAAGUGAAAAUAGUAGAACUUUGAGCAUAAAAAUUCUAAAAGCACAUUGCAACACGGUAUUAAGUCAAGAUUUUGCAACCGAGAGGGAAAGUCAAAUAAAUAAAUAAAUAAAUAAAUAAAUAAGGAUUCUAAUCAAACCUGUGAAUCCAAGCUAGUAUCUAACUAUUGUAUUGCCCAUAGUUUUGCAUACGCCAUGGAAAGUAUGAUACAUAGCAUGUUGAAAAAUUGUAACCAAUUAAAUAGAAGACAUUUAAUUUAAAGGCACAAUGCUAGGAGAUCAUCUCUCAGAGCAAUCAUCGCUGACAUAGACCUUCUGUUAAAUCACAUGUCUAAGCAGAACCCAGAGGUCUUUUACUUUUCCUUUAUAUGGAACCUUCAUUUUGACCUUUGGGGACUAUAGCCGCCUCAAUUAUGCAACUUUUUUUUCUAAAAUUUUAGUAUAGUGUAGUAGGAGCCUUUCCUGGUGUUCCAUANNNNNNNNNNNNNNNNNNNNNNNNNNNNNNNNNNNNNNNNNNNNNNNNNNNNNNNNNNNNNNNNNNNNNNNNNNNNNNNNNNNNNNNNNNNNNNNNNNNNNNNNNNNNNNNNNNNNNNNNNNNNNNNNNNNNNNNNNNNNNNNNNNNNNNNNNNNNNNNNNNNNNNNNNNNNNNNNNNNNNNNNNNNNNNNNNNNNNNNNNNNNNNNNNNNNNNNNNNNNNNNNNNNNNNNNNNNNNNNNNNNNNNNNNNNNNNNNNNNNNNNNNNNNNNNNNNNNNNNNNNNNNNNNNNNNNNNNNNNNNNNNNNNNNNNNNNNNNNNNNNNNNNNNNNNNNNNNNNNNNNNNNNNNNNNNNNNNNNNNNNNNNNNNNNNNNNNNNNNNNNNNNNNNNNNNNNNNNNNNNNNNNNNNNNNNNNAAACACAUACUAUAUUUAAAAGCAAAGAUGCACCUUAUGUGAGAAUCACGCAUGUGUUAUUUCUAAUCAAUGAGCCAAUAAAAUAAUAGCAUUGUAUCAUUAAAUAAAUUAUUUUUCAACUGAAUCAGACACGUGGGGUUUGACAAAAUUAAAAGUAUAUGCGAAGAUGUUAAGAAGAAAAUGUCAAUAUACAAAAUUUGUUUCUACAGGCAGAUGUGAUUUCCGUACAAAAAUAGUCUGUUUGCUUUACAAUAGAUCCACCUAAACCAAACUCCUGAGUUACUACAUGUAGAGCUCAAAAAUAUCAGAUAUAGAGUAUAAAAUGAGAAUGGAAUACUAAGUGCGUCUUACAGAAAUUAUAAGAUCUUUUAAUAGCUUUCUACAAUAUUACAUAGCAUACACGACAAUGAGGCAUGAAAUGAAUCAGUAUUGUAAAUAUGUAAAGAAGAAUAAGAAACACAAAGUAGCUGCUGCUCGAGCAACUACUACAUGCAAAUACAAUGCUUGAAAAUUUUCAAGCGUUCUCUAUGCUUUUUACCCAGAUUCAGCAUGGAUUAAAAAACCACAAUACUUAAUUCCAUGUAUCCUAAAUUCAAGCGUCAUGUUCGACUUGCCUGUGGACUUGUAGAACCAACAGCGCACUCGACAACAUCGGACAGAUAGAUCAAUCUGCAUACCGUUCGCUGUAGGUUCUUCAAUGGGAAGCAGCACGAUCCACUUUAGACCACCAUCAGUAGACCUCAUCCUACGCUCCAUCGCAUCGUUAUAUUGCAGUCAGCUCGGAACUUAUGCCAAGGAGAAUAGUUAGACCAUAGAUUUGAUAUUUGACCUCGCAUGAUAUUUGAUUUAAAGUUCAGUGAAAUAUCACGAGAAUGAAUUGCAUAUCCCAACUUUAAACUUAGAAACAUACAUGGAACUGUAAUAUUCAACAAACUUAGAAACAAAUUAAGUCGAGAAUAUAGUUUUUAUUUUGUAUUGCGGGUUACAACUACUAGAAAAGGCAGACUAUUAAUUGUUCUAAUAGUAAUAUCGUAAGCAUAUUCCAUAAUAUCUUUCUAUAUUUCUCAUUCUAUAUAUUAUUCUUUUAGAAAAUGCUAGCCCGUGCAGAUGCACGGGUUGAUGACUAGUCAAAGCUAAUUGAGGCAGAAAUGAUGUGUAAAAUUAUAUGUGUUGAUGUACUGGAUACCAAAGUGCAAAAAAAGCUAACCCUAAAUCAGAAAUCGGGUUGCUCUUGCUCACUUGCCCGCUUGCUGCCGUCGGGGACUGGUACUGGUGACUGAGAGGAAGGGCAGCGACUGCCGCCGGCUUUGCAGGGAGGCAGGGCAGGGGUGCCAGGAGGUCGGGGAAGGUGCGCAGCCAAGCCCGCGCAGAGCAGGGGCGCACGCAGGGAGCGCGUCCGCGCGGCUGGUUCCAGGAGUGCGGGAAGGAGGGGCGGGGCNNNNNNNNNNNNNNNNNNNNNNNNNNNNNNNNNNNNNNNNNNNNNNNNNNNNNNNNNNNNNNNNNNNNNNNNNNNNNNNNNNNNNNNNNNNNNNNNNNNNNNNNNNNNNNNNNNNNNNNNNNNNNNNNNNNNNNNNNNNNNNNNNNNNNNNNNNNNNNNNNNNNNNNNNNNNNNNNNNNNNNNNNNNNNNNNNNNNNNNNNNNNNNNNNNNNNNNNNNNNNNNNNNNNNNNNNNNNNNNNNNNNNNNNNNNNNNNNNNNNNNNNNNNNNNNNNNNNNNNNNNNNNNNNNNNNNNNNNNNNNNNNNNNNNNNNNNNNNNNNNNNNNNNNNNNNNNNNNNNNNNNNNNNNNNNNNNNNNNNNNNNNNNNNNNNNNNNNNNNNNNNNNNNNNGAGAGAGGGAGGGGAUAGAGGCCACAGUUUUUUUUACCUGGAAAAAAUAACCCCAUCUCUUUGCCAUCUGCCAGCAGAUGGCAAAGAAUCUUUGCCAUCUGCUGGCAGAUGGCAAAAAGGUGGGGUUGGUACGCCGUUACAUCCCUGGCAGACAUAGGAUUUGCCAACCUCUUUGCCAUCUGCUGGCCGAUGGCAAAGAAUUGGCUGAUGGCAACCAUGUUCUUUGCCGUCUGUCACUUCUUUGCCAUCUGUUUUUUAUAAGCAGAUGGCAAAGACGUUCUUUGCCAUCCGCUGGCAGAUGGCAAAAAGCUUGCCCGACUAGGGCAAAUUUCGUUAGGCGGAGCUUCCUAAUUCUCGGUACUCCCUAUACGUUCCUCCUUGCGGCUAACAACCUCCCCUUCGGACAGUCCGCGCCUGGCUGGGCUGGUCCAUUGACGACACGAAUGGACACCACUAAGUGGGAGAGUAGGAACAUAAGAAAAAUAGCCCAAGGAAAAAACAAAUAUGUAAAACUAAAAAAUAACCCAAAGAAAACGGUAACAGAAACAGAAGGAAAAAAAAGAACAAACGGAAAUACCAGUAAAAAUCAUAUCAGAACCUUUUGGAAGGCUCCCAAAAUCGGUAAAAGCCCGGUAGGAAUAUUUCGAAAGUUCGUAAAACUAGAGUGGCGCGGCGAACAUGGGUCGGCCGUCCCCAAGCUCUAGCAUCAGUUUUGUCUGCAAUCCCCGGCAAAUUGAUGUUGGCUGCUCAAAUAGGGUUUUCGCCAUUUCUCUUGUUUCUUGUUGCCUCAUAUGAGUUUCUUGUUCUUUGGGACAUACGUUGGCGCCAUUUGUACGGGUUCGAUGACCGCCAUCAAGGGUCUCUUAGUGGAAUCACAACAUCUUGCAUCGUGCGAGGGCGUGAGGAGAUUAUGGUGGCCCUGGUGGUAUUUUGGGGAGCAUUGUACCUCCACAGCGCUCCAAACGGAGAUUAGCAUCUGCAAUGUCGUCUCCGCGUGCCUCGGUUAUUUCUUAUCCGAGCCCUGUACUUUGUGAUAGCCAUAGUGUUUCAUGUUAUAUAUCUUGCUAUCACAUAGUUGUUUGUCGUGCUUAGCAUAAGUUGUUGGUGCACAUAGGUGAGCCUAGUUGUUUUAGGUUUUAUGCUUGACAAUUAGAUGCUAGUUUUAUUCCAUAUUUGUUCAAGCCUAAAUAGUAAUUAUUUUAAAGCGUCUAUUCACUCUCCCUCUAAGCAACAUCCACGAGUUUUCAAUUGGUAUCAGAGUGUUGCCUCUCUUUAUUAGACUUAACCACUUAGAGAGUAAAGAUGUCGACUAGGGGAUUAGGAUUCUUUGACACUCUUUGUUUUGAUGGCACAAUUUUUGAUGUUUGGGUAAUUCGUAUGGUUAAAUCUCUUUAGGGUCACGGACCCAAAUUUAGAGCGAAUUGUAGAUAUUAGUUUUUAUCCUUCAAAGGAGCCUCAAAGAUUAUCUCUAAAGGAUGAGAAAAACUCUUAUCUCACUGCUCAAGCUUCUAAUGUGCUUUUUGAUGCUAUGAACAAUGUAGUUAUAUUUGAACUUAUGCUGUUCUGGGAUGCUCAUGAGUUGUGGAAAAAGCUUCAAGAUAAAUAUGGUGUGUCCAGGAUUUGUGGGAAUGAUUAUUCUCCCUCCACCUCCAGUCUUAUGGUGUUCUCAACUUCUUCUACUUAACUUAUAUGUGGAUUGCCACGAGGUAGUGAUAUGGUGAGUAGUGUUGGUCAUUGCAAUGAUUAUAGUGGGCUUAUUGUUGAUGAUCCUUCAUCACUAUCUUAUUGAAUGCUCCUUCUUUGCACUUCAACACUUCGAGCUCUCUAGAUGGUUCACACGCUCGUGUUGAUAGUCCUUGCAUAUCAUGUAGAAAUUGAUCGACUAAAUCUCAUGAUGAUAUGCUUGCUAUGUCUUGCUGCCAUGAUAAAAGUGCCUCUAUUUCCUCGAGUUGUUGUGCAAACAGUGUAAAGGAAACCCUACACUCCAUGGAACAAGAUGUGGUCCUGAAUGGUGCUUCAAGGGAUCAAACAUCAUCAUCUAUUGUUUCUCACUUUUGCCUUAUGGCUACGGCUUCAAAGGUAUCUCCCAUUUUAAAUCCCAAUAUAUAUUGUGAUGAUGAUGUUCAUGAUAAUCAGGGGAGGGGCCCCACCCAGUUGAAAUCAGGGGAGGGCCGCUACCCAGUUGAAUCAGGGGGUGGAGUGAUCAGUUAGGAAAGUUAAGUAAGAUUAUGUAGGAUUUCUACGUAAUUGUACACCUACGUAGCUAUCAUACAAGAAUUUCUCCUCCCUCUCGUCCCAUACUGCAAAUUUGUCAUCUUAGGACUGACAUUUACAUUUACAAUUUAACAAGAACAGAUCACAUCAUAGUUCAAAUAAGCUAAGUAUGAAUGGACAAAAGUUUCCCAGCUAUAGGAUCAAAUUAUAGGGGUGCUGCAAAAGCAACAACUUUGAACCAAGCUUCAUUGCCUCAGUAUAUGAGAAGAAACCUGGGAGCCCUCCUUUGUUACCUUUCAUGGUGAUAAACUAAAAAUCUCGCACACAAGUUUCUUUCGGAGGUGCUGAGCCUGGGCGAGACAAAAAAAUACAGCUUUCAGUCCACCUCACGGUUUGUUCACUAUGGACACGCCCUGAACUACCAUGCUUUUACCUGACCAUGUGCAGACCGAAGGUAAAGCCCAUUGAACUCGAGGAUGUUGUGCAUGAUGUACACAUCGCUAUCCUCCUUAAGAUAACGGGAUCAGUAAUCGUCUUUGUUAGUGUGAAGCAUGACAAAAAAAUUAUCCUUGCUCAAAGUCAGAUGUACUAACCUCGUGCACAGUUUGUUCUGCGCCACUAAAGGGUACACAAAAGUCCAUCCAGUCGUGUCAACCAACCCGGCACCAAAAAUGUCAUUGAACACUCACCCCUUCGACCAUUCGAACCUCUGCGAGCCAAUGCUGGCCUCGAGCUGCCGAGGUUUCUGCUGUUGCAGUACAUCUCAUUGGUAGGAUCCCAGCAGAUUUUGUGUAUGAAGCACACCCGUGGGUAGGACAAGCAUUAGUAAAGAGCAAACUUUAAAUCUUUUGGAACACCAACUAAAAAUGUGUAACUAUUUGCUUGCGGUGCACCCACAUUCUAGUUCUAACUUUGCCAGUUCCGCAGCAGCAAACAUUUUGUCCAGUCUUAUCUGUUCUUCCUUGUCAACCUCGCCAACAACAUCUUGGUUUGUUUGACUCCAGGCAUUCGCACUAUUCACCCCAACUCCACUUCUGGCAACAUCUCACAGUCUCAGCUUCAGCUGAAGCCUGCCUCAAGCUGCGCAGCCAUGGCCCCCUGCAUGCACAAUUGACCCCGAAUAAACAUUUUUGGACUACCAACCUGACCCGAGGCCACCUCGCAGUUUUGAUGAAAUACGUAGGUUGCUCUGCCCAGCUGGUGCUCCAAUUGGUUACCUUACAUUGCAAAACAAUAUUGGUAUUUAUAUUCUUGUGGUCCAGCAUUGCUGCAUUUCUUGACAAAUAGUGCACUGGUCGAACAACAAUCAAGAUUUUUUUUGAAAAGGAGGAUGUACCCCCGUCCUCUCCAUCUGGAUGAUGCAUUCAACCAUAUUAUUAAUUAUUCACAAAGAUCAUACAAGAUGAUACAUCAAUAAGCCUGAAGCCACCAUCUUGGCAACGUUGUUGCUACUUCUAUCCCCUUGAUGAAGGUGUCCCGAAUGUCUGAGCCUAAUACCGAACAGACAUCGCACCAAAACCUAACAUCUAAAGCCGGGUGUCCCGUCCAAGCCACUACCUGGAAUGGGUCCCACACCGGUCUGGCAGACUCCGAGUGAGCACCACACGCUGCAAGGGUCGUCACCUCCAUCUUCCAUCGGUCCAUCCUUAGAGCAGAACUGAUGCACUGACCUUGCAAGGCCUCUCUGCCAUCAACGCCACCAUGAUGCCGGAUAGCUUCCUCCUCCUGCGCGAGUCCAUCUCUGCGCAUCAGACGCCAAGUAUCCACUGCGCCAUGCCGCAGAGACCCACCGUCAACGAUAUGGUUGAUGCCACACCGCUCCACCUACAUGCCAUCUCGCAUCGACUCCGAACUACCAGCAACUCCACCACCUUGAGCAGUCCCCAUCUGACGGCUUCAGGAAGGAACACGGCACCAAAGUGCCAUCAUCGCCCAAACAGAGGAACAGAGGCUUUUGCAUGCGCUCAUGGCAGAGGUGGGGGCGUAUGAUCCACACCGGAGCCUCCAGGAAGGGAAUCGGCGCCGAGGGCGUCGACUUUGGUGCGGCCGCCACGCCGGCGUGAAGUUUCCCCUGGAUCCAUGCCCACCCACCAGAUCCGUCCAGGUAGUAUUAGUGUCGACCGUAGUCGCUAUCGUAGCCAGCACAAACUGGAGUAGAUCUACUGUAGCCAGGGUAUAACGUUUGGUACAUGUGCAACGGCCAGAUACUUUUUUCGUUCGUCAACUCCCAUUCCUAACCUGAAUUACCAGGCCCCCUCCAGGGAGAGAUACGAGGGAGUUACCCCCGUCAAUUCCUCUUCCCUUCCCUCCACAACUCCUAUAUCCCCCAACCAUACAGGGGAUUUUUAGUGUCAUAGCCUCUUAAUUCCCAUUCCCAGCUUUUCUUCCCCCCAACCAAACAGGCUGUAAGAGUGAUUCUUGCAUUGCACUCCAGCAUCACAACUCCUUGCCGAACUGAAUCUACUAAGUUCCAUACAAAUUUAGGUUGAUUUAUGUACAUAUAUACAACAUGACGACAGUAGUGGUGUUGCUUUUUCGCUAAAUUCAACACACAAUGGACAGGAUAUUGUAUGCCACCUGGUUUAGAGAUAGCUAUUAAAGUUUUAUCGUUUGAGCAUCCUUAUUCAAAUUAAUAUGUCCUAACGAUACUAUUGAGGCUUCUAAGAUUUAAGUGCCCAAACUCGACUUCUGUAGAUAAACAUAGCAGUACAAUUUUUGCAUAGGUAUACACUAUCUUUCAACAUACUAUUUGAUUCCAUUGUGUAAUUUGGCUGAAAAAUUACGACGUGCUUUUGGUGACCAGACUAGAGUAGAAGUGGCAUAAGAGCUAAUGCAAGGAAGAAAAUCAUGUCCCAGACAUUUGCAUAGCCCGACUCAAAUUUGCCAAAUGUAGCAAGUUUUUUAUGCAAAUUCUAAAUGGUAUUUAAUUUAUCAAAAAUAAUGAAAUUUAGUUCAACGUUUCAGUCCUGAAGCAAACCUAAAACACGUACACUUCUUAUCCUCCUAAUCUUUGCAGAACCAGCAAACGUGGGCAAUAAGAACCGAACAAAUGAAGGCCUCUAUUUAGUCUGCAGCACAUAAACCCUUUAUGCCCAAUGUACAAAAAACAAAAUUGCAUCAAGUAAAUGUAACAGAACAGAAAAAUAAGAGAUAUAUGUAGAAACAGAAACCGAACAUAUCCGGGCAAACACAACAUCUCGCCGCGCAGAUAAAUUCUAGACGUACUUCUGAGGUGAAGAGAGAAGGUGGAUUUAGAAGCAGGAGAGCAAAGGCCCGGGGAUGGGGGCGAGAAACAGAGUUCUAAUGCCUUUGGGUCUACAUCCCCUCUAGAUAUGUAUCUUGGGGUGUCUGAUCUUGUGGCCGUGGGGCUCGUGGUGGCCAGAGAUGCCCUGCAGCCUACUAGGGUGCUAUAACAAAAUCAAAUGCCAUUGACAGCAUGGAGCUAUGUGAUACCCCACAAGUGUAGGGGAUAAUUGUAGCCUCUUUCGAUAAGUAAGAGUGUCGAACCCAACGAGAAGGUAAAGGUAGAACAAAUAUUCUCUCAAGCCCUAUCUGCCACUGAUACGACUCUACGCACGCUUGGUGUUCGCUUUACCUAGAAUAAGUAUGAAACUAGAAGUACUUUGUAGGUGUUGUUGGAUAGGUUUGCAAGAUAAUAAAGAACAUGUAAAUAAAAAGUAGAGGCUGUUUAGAUAAAGAAGCAAUAAAGUAAAGAUAGCGAGUGUGAAAAAGUGGUGGUAGGAGUAGUGAAAUUGUCCCUAAGCAAUUGACUACGUUACUUGAUCAGUAAUCAGUAUUGCAAUUUUAUUUGAGGGAGAGGCAUAAGCUAACAUCCUUUCUCUUCUUGAAUCAUAUGCACUUAUGAUUGGAACUCUAGAAAGCAUCCGCAACUACUAAAGAUCAUUAAGGUAAAACCCAACCAUAGCAGUAAAGUAUCAAGUCCCCUUUAUCCCAUACGCAAACAACCUACUUACUCGGGUUUGUGCUUCUGUCACUCACGCCAUCCACCAUAAGCAAAUCAUGAACAUAUUGCAAAUCCUACAGCGGGAAUCCCUCACGCUUGCGCGACACAGAGAGCACCAUAGGACAACACCAAUAAUAAAACAUGCAACUCAAACCAAUCAUAGCAAUUCAUCAAUCACCGAUAGGACAACGGAAAUCUACUCAGACAUCAUAGGAUGGCAACACAUCAUUGGAUAAUAAUAUGAAGCAUAAAGCACCAUGUUCAAGUAGAGGGUACAGCGGGUUGCGGGAGAGGGGACCGCUGAAUAUAGAUGGGGAAGGUGAUGGAGAUGUUGGUGAAGAUGGCGGAGGUGUUGGUGAAGAUCGCGGUGAUGAUGAUGGCCCCUGGCAGCGCUCCGGCGCCACCGUAAGAAAGGGCGAGAGAGGCCCCCUUCUUCUUCUUCUUCUUCUUCUUCUUCUUCUUCUUCUUCUUCUUCUUCUUCUUCUUCUUCUUCCUUGACCUCCUACCUGGAUGGGAGAAGGGUUUCCCCUCUGGUCCUUGGCUCCCAUGGCGUGGGAGGGGCGAGAGCCCCUCCGAGAUUGGAUCUAUCUCUUUGUCUCUCUCUGUUUCUGCGUUCUCAGAUUCUUCCCCUUCACCGUUUCUUUUAUAUACGGAUAUUCGUAACUCCGAUUGGGGUGAAUCUUUCGCCCAGAUUUUUCUCAUAAAAUUAGCUUUCUUGCGGCAAAAGAAGAGCGUCAACCACCUUACAGGGUGCCAGAGAUAGUCCAGGGUGCACCUUCCUCCCUAGGGCACCCCCCUUGUCUCGUGGCCCCCUCGGGUACCGUCUCGUGUUGAUUCUUCCUCCCAAAAAUCACAAAUAUCCCAAAAUAAUUCUCCGUCCAUUUUUAUCCCGUUUGGACUCCGUUUGAUAUUGGUUUCCUAUGAAACAUAAAACAUGCAACAAACAGGAACUGGCACUGGGCACUGGAUCAAUAUGUUAGUCCCAGAAAUAGUAUAAGAAUUUGCCAAAAGUAUAUGAAAGUUGAAUAAUAUUGGCAUGGAACAAUCAAAAAUUAUAGAUACGACGGAGGCAUAUCAGCAUGCCCAAGCUUAAUUCCUGCUCGUCCUCGAGUAGGCACAUGAUAAAAAAGAUAAUUUUUUAUGUGGAAUGCUACCUAGCAUAAUCUUGAUCACGUAUCUAAUCAUGGCAUGAAUAUUAAGACACGAGUGAUUCAAAGCAAUAGUCUAUCAUUUGACAUAAAAAUGAUAAUACUUCGAGCGUACUAAUAAAGCAAUCAUGUCCUUUCAAAACAACAAGGCCAAAGCAAGCUUAUCCCUACAAAAUCAUAUAGUUUGGUCAUGCUUCAUUUUCGUCACACAAAAUGCUCCAUCAUGCACAAUCCCGAUGACAAGCCUAGCAAUUGGUUCAUACUUUUUAACGCGCUUCAGCUUUUUCAACUCUCACGCAAUACAUGAGCGCAAGCCAUGGAUAUAGCACUAUAGGUGGAAUAGAAUAUGAUGGUGGGGGUUUAUGUGGAGAAGACAAAAAGGGAGAAAGUCUCACAUCGAUGCGGCUAAUCAACGGGCUAUGGAGAUGCCCAUUAAUUGAUGUCAAUGCGAUGAGUAGGGAUUGCCAUGCAACGGAUGCACUAACAGCUAUAAGUGUAUGAAAGCUCAAACUGAAACUAGUGGGUGUGCAUCCAACUUGCUUGCUAAUGAAGACCUAGGGCAUUUGAGGAAGCCCAUCGUUGUAAUAUACAAGCCAAGUUCUAUAAUGAAAAUUCCCACUAGGAUAUGAAAGUGACAAUAUAGGAGACUCUCUGUAUGAAGAACAUGGUGCUACUCUGAAGCACAAGUGUGGUAAAAGGAUAGUAACAUUGCCCCCCUUUUUUUCACUCUUUUUUGGUGGGCUUCUUUGGCCCCCCUUUUUUAUUUAGGCUUAUUUGGCCUCUUUUUUUAUGGGGCAAUGCUCUAUAAUGAUGAUCAUCACACUUUAUUUACCUACAACUCAAUAUUACAACACGAUAUUGGAACAAAGAUAUGACUCUAUAUGAAUGCUUUCGGCGGUGUACCGGGAUGUGCAAUGAUCUAGCAUAGCAAUUACAUGAAAAAAAUGGACAAGCCAUGAAAACAUCAUGCUAGCUAUCUUACGAUCAUGAAAAGCAAUAUGACAAUGAAUGCUCAAGUCAUGUAUAAGAUGAUGAUGGAAGUUGCAUGGCAAUAUAUCUCGGAAUGGCUAUGGAAAUGCCAUAAUAGGUAGGUACGGUGGCUGUUUUGAGCAAGAUAUAAGGAGGCUUAUGUGUGACAGAGCGUAUAAUAUCACGGGGUUUGGAUGUACCGGCGAAGUUUGCACCAACUCUCAAGGUAAGAAAGGACAAUGCGCGGUACCGAAGAGGCUAGCAAUGAUGGAAAGGUAAAAGUGCGUAUAAUCCAUGAACUCACAUUAGUCAUAAAGAACUCAUGUAUUUAUUGCAAAAGUUUAUUAGCCCAUGAAGCAAAGUAUUACUACGCAUGCCCCUAGGGGGAUAGAUUGGUAGGAAAAGACCAUCGCUCGUCCCUGACCGCCACUCAUAAGGAAGACAAUCAAAGAAACACCCCAUGCUUCAACUUUGUCACACAAGGUUACCAUAUGCGCAUGCUACGGGACUUGCAAACCUCAACACAAGUGUCUCUACAAUCCACAACCACCCACUAGCAUGACUCUAAUAUCACCACCUUUAUAUUGCAAAACUAUUGCAAGGAAUCAAACAUACCAUAUUCAGCGAUCUACAAGUUUAUGUAGGAUUUUAUGACUAACCAUGUGAAUGACCAAUUCCUGUCAUCUCUCUAAAUAGAUCUAAGUGAAGCAAGAGAGUUUAAUUCUUUCUACAAAAGAUAUGCCCACGCUUUAACAAAUAUAAGUGAAGCAAAAGAGUAUUCUACAAAUGGUGGUUUUCUAUGUGAAGAGAAAUAGGUAAUCCAAACUUCAAAUGAUAUAAGUGAAGCACAUGAAGCAUUCUUUAAAGCCAUACUCAAAAGAUAUAAUUGAAGUGCAAUUAGCAUUCUAUGAAUCAACCAAGAACUAUGUCAUACCAGCAUGGUGCAUAAAAUGAAACUGAAAACUAAAUGCAAAAGACGCUCCAAGACUUGCACAUGUCGCAUGAACGAAACGAAUACGAAAACAUACUGAUACUUGUUGAAGACAGAGGGGGUGCCUUCCGGGGCAUCCCCAAGCUUAGACGCUUGAGUCUCCUUGAAUAUUUACUUGGGGUGCCUUGGUAAUCCCCAAGAUUUAGCUCUUGCCUCUCUUCCUUUUCCUCAUAUCAAGACCUCCUCGAUUACACACUUGAUCCACACAAAACUUCAACAGAAAACUCGGUAAGAUCCGUUAGUAUAAUAAAGCAAAUCACUACUCUACGUACUGUUGCAAACCAAUUCAUAUUUUGUUUUUGCAUUAUGUCUACUGUAAUAUAGCUUUUCCAUGGCUUAAUCCACUGAUAUAAAUUGAUAGAUUCAUCAAAACAAGCAAACUAUGCAUCCAAAACAGAAUCUGUCAAAAACAGAACAGUCUGUAGAAAUCUGAACAUUUACCAUACUUCUCGUACCCCAAAACUUCUACCAAAAUUAGGAAAAAUAAGCAAUUUGUACAGAAAGACAGUGCAAAAAGAAUCAGAACCAUUUGACGUUCCAGCAAAAAAUGUAAAAUCGUGCACUACAGACAAAGUUUCUGUCCUGCACUGUACAAACCAACAAGCAUUGUAAACAUCCUAAAGGCAAACCUUGGCACAUUAUUUUUAUAAUACAUUGGAAUUGUACAAGGGGAUAAUUACUUUUGAUGAAAAGUUUCUGUAAUCAAGAUUCACAAAGUUUCCGUGAGCAUGAACAAAGUUAAAGGAGCUCUCCCACUUCAACAAUGCUUGUCUCUCUCACUUUCACUUUCCUUUUGAAAAGUUUUGGGUUCCCCUAUUUAUUUAUUUAUUUAUUUGUUUUUAAACUAUAUAAAAGCACUCAACAGAAAAAAAUGACUCUCUAAAACUUCAGGGUUGUCUCCCUGGCAGCGAUUUGUUUAAAGCCAUUAAGCUAGGCAUAUAGUGCUCAAGUAAUGGAUCCACCCGGAUCCCAAGGUAUAUCAAAGCCAAUUUUAAUUAACAAUGAUUUGUGAUUUAGUAGUGAGCACAAAGUAACAUAUAUCAAGCAAUGAUGAAGUCUAACUCUCUUCCUAUGCAUCGGCAUGUCAUAAAAGAACAAUUCAUGCACACAUAGUAAAGGCCAAUGCAUAGUAUAAGUAGUUUCUUGCAGUUUUAUCAUAUUGGAAACAUAGAGAGGUGGAGAUAUAGUUCCUCUCUCGUAAUAAUUGCAAGUAUGAGCAGCAAUCACAUGCAUAUUAUAUCCAUCAAAAUUAUCAUGUGCAACGGUAAAAGGCAUCCCAUCAAUAUAAUCCUUAAUAAGCACAAACUUCUCCGAUAUAGUGUAGUUGAGAGAAUUCAAAAAGAUAGUAGGACUAUCAUGCGUGGGUGCAAUAGCAACAAUUUCAUGUGUAACAUAAGGAACUAUAGCAAGUUCAUCUCCAUAAGCAUAACUCAUAUUGGCAUCUUGGCCACAAGCAUAGGAAAAGCAUCAUCAAAAAGGGGUAUUUGAAGAGAAUCAACGGGAUCAUAGCAAUCAUCACAGCAAUCAUCCUUCGGUAAGCACGAAGGGGAAUUAAACAAUGUAUGAGUUGAAGAGUUACUCUCAUUAGAAGGUGGGCACGGGUAGCUAAUCCGCUCUUUCUCCUUCUGUUCUUCGCUCUCCUCAUCAUCUUUUUCAUCCAAUGAGCUCACAGUUUCAUCAAUUUCUUCUUCCAUAGCUUCCUGCAAAAUAUUAGUCUCUUCUUGGACAGCGAAGUAGUCCUCAAUAUAUAGUUUAGCAUCGGCAUUAGAAGCAUAAUUAUCAUAGCAAUAUUCAAGUAUGGCAAAAUUUUCAGAUUUGUAGAGAGUAGCAUCAUACUUUUCAAUCAAAGAAGCAAUUUCAGAAGCACCCUUAAAAGCAACAAAUUCUUCAAUUUGUUGAACAUCAUAGUAAUUAUAAACACCCUUAGCAUAUGAAGAUACGAUUCCAUUAUCACUAAACAAGCAUUGGUAGGGAAGGUCUUUCUUAGGGUUAUCAGAACAACAAGUAACACCAUAUAUUUCAUAUAAAGUCCCAGCAUAGCAUGGAAAACGAUGAAUUUGAUCCAGUAAAAGUUUCCCCUUUUCAGAUAUACGGUGUCGCACAUAACAAGCAUGCUCAUCUAAAGAUUUGCCCUCAACUAAGCAAGUGGGGGUUUAGGCACGAGCACAAAGGGAUCGAAGAUGAUCCAAGUAAAAACCUUCAGGAGUGAUACAUUUUGAGUGGUUCUUCAACCAUUGGUUCAGUAGGUACAACUAAUUUUUUUGGUAUUUUGCAUUUCCUACCCAAAACUAAAGAUAGAAAACAACUAAGAAUAGCAAAUAAAAAUUACUUAGUGAUAAAGCAAACAAGCACACAUGAGAAUAUUCACCCCAUGCUAUGACUCCCAGGCAACGGCGCUAAAAAAAGGUCUUGAUAACCCACAAGUGUAGGGAAUAAUUGUAGCCUCUUUCGAUAAGUAAGAGUGUCGAACCCAACGAGGAGCUAAAGGUAGAACAAAUAUACGACUCUACGCACACUUAGUGUUCGCUUUACCUAGAACAAGUAUGAAACUAGAAGUACUUUGUAGGUGUUGUUGGAUAGGUUUGCAAGAUAAUAAAGAACACGUAAAUAAAAACUAGGGGCUGUUUAGAUAAAGAAGCAAUAAAGUAAAUAUAGCGAGUGUGGAAAAGUGGUGGUAGGAGUUGUGAAAUUGUCCCUAAGCAAUUGACUACGUUACUAGAUCGGUAAUCACUAUUGCAAUUUAUUUGAGGGAGAGGCAUAAGCUAACAUACUUUCUCUUCUUGGAUCAUAUGCACUUAUGAAUGGAACUCUAGCAAGCAUCCGCAACUACUAAAGAUCAUUAAGGUAAAACCCAACCAUAGCACUAAAGUAUCAAGUCCCCUUUAUCCCAUAUGCAAACAACCUACUUACUCGGGUCUGUGCUUCUGUCACUCACGCCACCCACCAUAAGCAAAUCAUGAACAUAUUGCAAACCCUACAGCGGGAAUCCCUCACGCUUGCACGACAUGGAGAGCACCAUAGGACAGCACCAAUAAUAAAACAUGCAACUCAAACCAAUCAUAGCAAUUCAUCAAUCACCGAUAAGACAACAGAAAUCUACUCAGACAUCAUAGGAUGGCAACACAUUAUUGGAUAAUAAUAUGAAGCAUAAAGAACCAUGUUCAAGUAGAGGGUACAGUUGGUUGUGGGAGAGUGGACCCCUGAAUAUAGAUGGGGGAAGGUGAUGGAGAUGUUGGUGAAGAUGGCGGAGGUGUUGGUGAAGAUCGCGGUGAUGAUGAUGGCCCCUGGCAGUGCUCCGGCGCCACCAGAAGCAAGGGGGAGAGAAGCCCCCUUCUUCUUCUUCUUCUUCUUUUUCCUUGACAUCCUCCCUAGAUGGGAGAAGGGUUUCCCCUCUGGUCCUUGGCUCCCAUGGCAUGGGAGGGGCGAGAGCCCCUCCGAGAUUGGAUCUAUCUCUCUGUCUCUCUCUGUUUCUGCGUUCUCAUAUUCUUCCCCUUCACCGUUUCUUUUAUAUCCGGAGAUCCGUAACUCCGAUUGGGGUGAAUCUUUCGCCCAGAUUUUCUAAUAAAAUUAGCUUUCUUGCGGCAAAAGAAGAGCGUCAGCCGCCUUACGGGGUGCCCAGGAGAGUCUAGGGCGUGCCGGCCUCCCUGGGGCGCGCCUCCCUGUCUCGUGGCCGCCUCGGGCACCGUCUCGCGUUGAUUCUUCCUCCCAAAAAUCACAAAUAUUCCAAAAUAAUUCUCCGUGCGUUUUUAUUCCGUUUGGACUCUGUUUGAUAUUGGUUUCCUCCGAAACAUGAAACAUGCAACAAACAGGAACUGGCACUGGGCACGGGAUCAAUAUGUUAGUCCCAAAAAUAGUAUAAAAAGUUGCCAAAAGUAUAUGAAAGUUGAAUAAUAUUGGCAUGGAACAAUAAAAAAUUAUAGAUACGACGGAGACGUAUCACUAUGUCAGGAGUGUGGCGGCCCUCUUGGACAUCAGAGCGCGCGUAGGAUGCUGGUACGUAGUGGUGGGCGCUGCCGUUGAGAUCAAGGUUGGGGGAGAUGGGAGGGGUGCCCCUGGGCGUGCUAAAUAAAGGAGCCUGGGAGCUGGCCGGGCACCUCCAUUGGUGUUAGGUUGCUGCCAAUGCAUGGGUGCUUAGAUGAGGUGCUAAGCACAUUAAAUAGCUUAGCAACUAUACUCCCCAAUGCAUAGGUGCUUAGCUUAUGGUUGCUAAGCUUGCUUCAUUUAAUGAUUUAGCAACUAAAGUUCUUCAUGUAUUGGUGGACUUCUUUCCUUUAAUUGUUUUGCCUAGGUUUACGAGCUUAGCAUUGUCUCUUCCUGGGUCACCACACUCGUCUCUCUCCUCUUAAAUAACUUGCCACAUCAAAUUUUUUGCCUAUGUGGAAGGCUUAGCACCUGUACAAGGUGGAGCAUUGGGAGAGGCCUUAAUGGAUUUUUAGCAACGGUAACAUUACUCCUCGCUUGAAUACCGGUGGACGAUCUCCAAUCACCCACUAUGCUGCAUCGCUGCCCAUUAAUGCGUCGCUAUCUCUACGCAUUUCCCGCACACUGCCCUUCCCAAAGCAGACACUCUUUCUUGCGAUAUUCCUUGUGCUAACCGGGCCGAUGUUAAACAACAGAUGAUGGCAAGCGAAUAUGUUACAGUGAGCUUAAAUGGGAUUCUUGAGGGAGAAGGGUAUGAUUAACCAUAAACCACCGAUUUUGUGACAGGAGUAGCAGCCAAUGAGGCAUCCAGUCCACUUAGUGCUAUUUAAAAGUAUCUUACGGCCAAAAAGCGACCAUCACAAAAUGAUCCAAUGGUUAGGAACGGUGCUGGACUGAGAGGGCAGGAAAGAUGCUCAGGUAUAAUGUAUCCAUAUGUCCUUCCCACGAUAUUGAGCAUGAACAUUUGUUGUGCUUGGACCAGCGUCCCUUAAGGUGCACACUAUCCGGAUAGACUUUGCUGGUUGCCACCCCCAUAUCUUUGGGACAUAGAGUGGAUGUGACUUUCACGGUGAUUGGUGAUGUACCAACUAUUGUCAUACCCAUGCAGCAACCGUACCAAAACAGGGCACUCACACCUACAUGAACUGUUGUUUACUGACUCUGGCUUCCCCUGCACACCAGCUAGCACAUGUCAUGGUCAGCGCAACUAAAUUAGUGAUGGGAGCCCCACAAAUAAAAGGACAGAAGAGAAGAGAGUGGCGUUUUGGCACAUGGAAGCACGUGUUCCUAUUUUUAAAAUUUAUUUUAAACAUACUUUGAAAUAUCAAAAAAAUUCAAACAAAAACUUGGCGCGUACAUCUCGAUAUUAUACAUUCUCACAAAGUUGUUUCGCGAAAAACUGACAACUCACGCGUCGCGUGUGAAAAAGACAAAAUCCGGUCUUAAAAAAUACUUUUCACAAAACAUCCUUUUGUCUUUUUUACACAAGCCACAAAAAAUGGUGGGUUUUCUUCGAAACUUGACAUGCACACAUAUAAUGUCAAAAUGUAUGCGCCAAAUUUUUGUUUGGAAUUUUUUCACACAUUGAAAUAUUUUUUUUGUGUCCAGGAGCGCGCGCUCCAGGGAGCAGCAACAUAUAUCCACAUAAUAGAUAAGCAGAAGGCACUACAUGCCAAGCAGCCACAAAUGAUUUCCUGCAUCUAUUUGGUCCUCUCAGCAUUAAAUCUAGUCUUACAAUACCUGAUCCCAAACCCAAUCUCCCAUGAAUACAAGUUGUAGAUGUCGUGCGCCUCACCUAGCGAGUAGUGAGUUGAAUUCAGUCCCAGUUCUGGCUUGAUUACACUCUCCCUAGCCUCCUCUGCACAUUUCCGAAUCGACUGCUCCAAUGCCCUCAUCCUACAUGGACAAGGCCUUUUGUCCGAUGGAGAACUCUUGAGGCGUAACCUGAUUUUUUAGCAACACAGUCAAUCGGAUAGAUGCAGGCUUACCUCUUAUGUCCAUCCUGGUCCUCCGGAUUGACCCUAUCAGUAGACCCGGACCAUGUCGGAGACGCCUUUUUUCACCGGCUUCCUUCGCCACCUUGCUGCCCGCACCCAGACCCAACAUUGGAGUUCCCCGGCUCAGUCGGGUGGGCAUCACCGCGUAACUGGAUCGGGAUGCUCCAACAUGUUCGCAAACUUCUCCGGCAAAGGAAACCUGCAAGACACACCAUGGCCACUGGCGGUGGAAGUGGGAUGAGGGGACAACGGUUGUACGAAGCACCAACUCUCAAAAAUCGACGUGGAUGAGGGGGCGGGUUGAACUCACCGGUUGAAGGCAUCGAACAGGAACUCAAGCCCCGCAUCCUCCAUCGCCAACACCGCCAGAACUAGCAAAAGCCGCCUCAAUUACGGAUGGAGUGGGCUGAUGUGAGGGCGGGUUUGGCGGACCUCCUACUGGCGGUCUCAAUCCCUGGUUGACCUACCGAGAAAGGUCCACAAAUUCGUCUGUGUGACGGCUCAAGUUUUUCGCGUAACCCUAGGCCACGGCUCAAACAGAAAUUCUCUGUCCUGGUCCACGGAGCAUUAAAUCCCGCCCGAGUCAAGGCGCCCAUCCCUACUUAAUUGGCCGCACACACGGUCGCACUGUUUCAUGCUGUAUACAAGCCGUAUCCUCAUUAUUUGCCGGUGCAGAUUUUUUUCGGAAAAACAUCCAAUAUAUUCAUCUUCAAUCAUGGCGGUACAACAAACACCAGAAAUAAUAAAAUUUAUAUCUAGAUCCGUAGACCGCCUAGCGACGACUACAAGCACUAAAGCGAGCCGAAUGCGCGCCGCUGUCAUUGCCCCUCCCUCACUGGAGCUGGGCAGAACUUGUUGUAGUAGACAGCAGGGAAGUCGUCGUCCUAAGGUCCCAUAGGACCAUCUCACCAGAAUAGCAACCACCGCCGAUGAAGUGUAGCACAAAUCGAAAGGAUCCAACCUGAAAACACACGAACGUAGACGAACGACGAACAUAUCCAAGCAAAUCCACCAAUGACAGAUCUACCGGAGACACACAUCCACACGCCCACCGACAAUGCUAAAUGCACCACCAGAACUGGGGCUAGGCGAGGAGAACCUUAUUCCAUCUUCAGGGAGCAGCCAUUGUCUCAUCUUUCUGAGUUGGACACAAACCCUAACAAAUCUCGAAGACACAUCUAAAAACCGAUCCCUUCCCUGGCAAGGGCCAGGAUCCGCUGCGCUCCCAUGACCCUAAGGCAACCGGAGAUGAGGCGGACCAGCGCCGGCGCCGGUGGGAGGCACAUGAAUCCUAGUUGGGGAGGAGGAGGCGGCCUGAGGAUUCAUGUAACGUCCUUUCUAGGUUCACCGGUUGUCCCCUUCUAUUCUGCCGAUGCAGAUCUGACACGUCAAAACGAAUUGUUGCAAUCCCCAGGCAGCAGCGAAUGCUAGCGAUAUUGGGAGCAGCUGAGCUCGAGCACCGAAUCGCUGCGUCCCGCGAGCAUAGUAGCCAGAAGAGAAACCGAGCGUGUAUAAAGCGCUAAACUACACUGCCCUAACAGAGCGUGCGUGUGAGCGCUGAUGCGCCAACCAACGCCAUAAGCAUGGUAGAGGAGUGCUCCUGCAAUUUGUUGCCUCAAAUAGGUGGGGAAACACAUAAGGACAGGCACUGGUCGGCCCAUUCAUUUCAUACUGUACAAACCCGGUAGCCAAGAUUUUUUCGGUGUUGUACACUUUCAAGCGCUUUUUCAAUUAGGCGUUUUCUUUUUCAUAUUUUGAAAAACAUUAGAAAAACUUAUUUAUUGAAAAACUAAGUAUUGAGUUUUUAAAAUAAUUUUACAAAAUGUGAACAUUUUUAAAAACAUGAAUGUUUUCAUAAUGCAGACCAUUUUUUCAAGUUUUGAACAUUUUUUCAAAAACACGAAUAUUUUUGGAAAACACUAAAAAAUUGUGAAAACAUUCAAAUGAAAUUAUCCAUUUUGAAAAACUAUUCAUAUAUUUAAUAAACAUGAACAUUUUUGAAGAUUUUGUGAAAAAAUCUGAAAAAGAACAAAAGAAAACAAAAUAUAAACCAGCAAAAGAAGAAAACCUAAAAAACCGGAAUCCUUAAUGCGUCAUAAUAAUGCACGUCUAUUUUUUAUGAAUAUGUCUUCGAAUCAAAAAUUUCUUUCAUAUAUGGGUUUGCCUAUACCUCACUUGUAGUGAGGCAAAAGAACACAACGCCUCAGGCCCCCUGUAUUGUGGCCUAGGGAUUCUUCAUUAUGCAGGAAGCCGGCUUGGUAGGCCGGCCCAGGGCCUCAUAGGUCGGCUUGUCCAGGGCCAUCAAUCUGGCCCAUGGAUCCAAUUAGAGAAAGGCUCGGGGAACUUGGAGCGGGUGACAGGGUGACUAGCGUCCAGGAGAACUCCUCCAAUGACCAACUACGAUCGUGUAAUCUUAGACCCCGACACCCAUAUAUGUGGUGGCUAGAUUAGUCAAUAGACACAGAACCUUAGAACUAUUGCUCAAUCCAUCGAUUAUUGUAACCCCUAUACACAAGCAAUAUACACGAGCAGGGGUUAGGAUUUUAGCUCAUCCAUGAGGGUCUGAACCUGGAUAAACCCCUUCUUAUUUCCCAUUUGGUUUAAUCGCAUGGCCAGAGAACCUUAUCAAGUGAUCUGUCGGAAAUAACUCCACCAGUCAUAAAUGGGCUAGGGCCAGAUAAUUUUUUUCUCCUUUUCUCUUAUUUUGUUUCUACUUUUGGUUCAAUUUAAAACAUAUUGUAAAUAUAUAUAUUUGGAAAUAUUCUUCAUCAAUUAUUAAUAACAUUCACCAUGCCUGAAAUAAUGGUCAUGAAAUGAAAUUAUUUUUUUGCACAAUUUGAGAAAUUGUUCAUAUCCUUCAAACGAAUAUUCGUAUCAUUUUUAAAAUGUUCGCGUGUUUAAAAAUGAAUGAAUUUUUAACAAUGUUUAUUAAAAUAUAUAAAAAUUAACAGUGUAAUUUGUAAAAAAUGUUCAUACCAUUCAAAUAAUGUUUAACACUUUAAAAAUGUUCAAACAUUUUAAUUUUAAGUAUUUUUUAGUAAAUACUAUUGAUAUAGAAAAAAAUUGACAAAAAAUUAAAAGUUUGUAACAUAUAAAAAUGUUUGUAAAAUUUUCAAAAUAUGUUCAUAAACACUUACGAAAUGUUUGGCACAUUUACGGAUAUGUUGAUGUCUUAAUUUUUUGAAAACUAUCAAUGAAAUUUACAAAAAUGUUCCUAGCAGAAAUGCUAUUACAAAAAUUUAUGAAUAGAAAAUGUGUAUAAAAUUUACAGAAAAGUUCACAAUUUUUUGAAACUUUAAAGCUGGCUUCUGAUUUUUUUUCAAAAUUUUGAGGUCCAUGGAGCUCGGGAUCCAAACAUCCACUCUCUACCAACUAUAUGCAUGUAUCUUGUAGCAAGCCAUGAGCCAAGGGUUGCUACAUGAUCAAUUGCUGACUGGGCAGUGUGUUUUCUUCAUUUAGGGCAGAUCACAAGUGUUUGACAUCUCUCUCUACAUUGGGUAUCCUUUUCCACUUGAAUUUUAAGAUGCGCAGAAUGUGCUUUCCUUGUUGUUGCCUCGUCAUUCCAGCAUGGAAUCAAAGCAAAAAUGAUAUUACUUCCCUUAAAAAUUGUCUCGCUAUCUAUGUCCAUAACAUGCCCAUUGGACUGCAUGGCAGAAGUGAAGGUGUGUGCCUAGCUGGCGGAGCAGACACACUCAUCUGUGACCUCUGAUCUAAGAAUGACAUGUACUUUGUUGUGAGCCCAUGGUGCAUGUGGGUUGGAACGCUCCUUAGGAAAUCUAGACUUAUUUUGCAGGCAAGCCAAGAUGAGAUCUGUAGGCCCAUGUGAAUUCCAUCAAAAUCACGCUCAGUUCAACUCUGGUUCGAAUCCUAAUAAAAAAUAGCUCAGCGGUCCUAGAUGGAUAUGUCCAUUGCUAAAAAAUGCAGUUUUUGAAAGAGUCAAUUUGACUUGUAGCUAGAGGACGCCGACACCUGUCACUUCUUCUACACGCACUAAACAAACCCUAGCUUAUCCAACUCAAUUUGCUUUAAGGUUUGUGUGUGAAAGAAGUAGUGUUAAAACCAAACACCACACUCUUCGACCUGAGAAAUCAAUAGUAAAUUUACCUAUGGAUAUUAAAUCUAUAUACAUCAUACUUGAUUUGUCAAGUUGAUAAUACUUACUAAACAUAUUUCAAAUUACAAUAUUUGGUGCUUCACAGCCUGUUAUGAAAUUAUUGUUCACCCAUCCAAUACAAUAAAAAGUAUUUGAAUGAUGUUAACGCACGCGUGAGAGAGAGAGAGAGAGAGAAAGACUAGAGUACAUUUUGUCGUGAUGUCCAUCAUAGUUCCACGAUUAGUACACCUAGGAGGAGACAAUCAAAAUAUGGACAGAAAAUAAAUAUUUAAUAUGUAAAUGGUAGGUAACAAAUCCAACCACAAAAUUGUGCAAGCAACCCACUAGCUAGUUUUAUUGAAUAUUAAAAUAACAUAGUUGAUUUCUAAAACAUAUAAGAUUUAUUAUCUCAUCAACACAUAAUUAUUUUGAGAACCAUAAGGUUGAGAUUUAUCCACCCAAAAUAGGGGAGAUAACAAAACUAUUGUGUUGUUGUUGCUGGUGUGCAAUUAAUCUUGCAGGGACAAUUGAUGAAGCAUUCUCCAAGAUCUGGCCAGCACAAGUUAUCUAUUUGACAGCAGAAUUCCCGUCCUGGGAGCUGGUGCCCAUCUUUAUAACAAGGGGGUCUGGUUACAUGGCUUACUUUGCUCAUCAUGUUUCUCCCCUUGUUGUUUAUGAGUUCACCUAAUUAACAUAAAAUAAAGAAUAUACUUAUCAUCUCAUCAUAUAAACAAUAAAAGUCCACAAUAUCAAUCCCCCC
rnacentral:lncRNA from 1 species